rnacentral:lncRNA from 1 species
AGGCACACCCUGAGUCUAGGAGUUUACUUCCUACAUGAAAGCUGUGGAAGGGGUCUUCCUUCAAAGGAGGCAUAAACAGCACAUGGAAGAUUAAAGAUCCUUUUGAAGAAAUGAUGCAGCGGUAAACGUCAUCCGUUUCUGAAGCGGCCUCUAGUCCCAUCUUUUCCCAUGGGAUGAGUUCAGUUCGAUGGUUUAUCGCAGCAUUGUGCCAGGCAGCUCUGGAACCAUUGCUUGAUUUACUGGAUAGUCUGAUUGUACCGACAUCUACGAUUUUGUUGGGUUUGAUCGUGUUUUAGAGCAUUUCAGAUGCGUACAUAGAUAAAUUAGCAUCUCCCUGUAGCGAAUUCAGAUGAGGUGAUCUGGUGGUUGUUUCCAUGUAAUUAGUCAAUUUUACCGUCCGUUCCCGUUGGUGUCUGUCUGGGGUUUGCAAUGCUGCUUAUACCAUGCUUGGGUCGUCUGUAUGCCGGUAGGUAGCUUGCGUGCUGGGGCGUGCAUGCUUCGGCCAGGGGCUAUCCGGCGUAUCACAUGGAGAGACAUGCAUGCAGCGAUCGUGCGUGUCGUGGGAGAUGCCGGACGCGUGACCACCCGGGAAGAAGCGGUCCAGAACAAGAUAUGCAAGGUAUAUCACCAGACUUGGCUCAACUGACGAGUUCCUUCUGUGGAAAUGGAUUCUUCGCGUUCUCCCUCCCUCCUCCGAUGAGGACACGGCAACUCGAACAAAACGCAUUGUAUAAACACGGUCGUAGGCGCAUAGCCGUUCCAAUAUAUCAACUCACCAGCUUGUUGAUUGAUUUCUCGCCUAGCUUUGUCCAUAUCUGAAUUCUGAAUCAAGCAGCCAGCAGCAUCGUCAAAAGUGAGAUACGUACCAUGGAUGCCCCUGCCCCCAACGCCACCGGCCCGGGUCACGAGGACUUCAAACCUAAGUACACAGUCGUCACCGGCGAGCCGGCGACGCACACCCUCUCCGUCGAUCUAACCGACGAAGGCACGCACCUCCCUCUUCUUCUGCCGAUUUGCUUGCGAUUGGAUUAGAUGGUGUUAACCAGGCUUGAUUAGAUUGCAGGGGGUUUCAAGAAGGAGCACAUCAGGGUGCAGCUGGUCCGCAACAAAAGGCUGGUGAUCGUGAGCGGCGAGCGCCCCGUCGAUGGUGAUGGAAAGGUUAGGCGCUUCAAGCUGGAGUUCCAGGUGACCGACAACUGCGACGUCAACGGCAUCCACGCGCGGUUGGACGGCGGGUUCGUGCGGGUCACCAUGCCCGACGUGAAAGCCGCGACUUCUGCAAUCGUCGUCCGCGGCGGCGAUGCAGCCUCAGCUGGCAAGCAGGAGCCCGCUGCGCCUGCGGUGGCCAAGACGGACGCCGGAGCCGGAGGAGGACGUAAGAAGGAAGAGGAGGGCGUGCCGAAGCAGAAAGAUGGUGCAGGCGCCGCCAUUGAUGGGCCCACUGGCCGCGGCUACAAAUACCUCCCCCACCAAGAGCAGAGAAAGCUCGCGACCAGUGUGGUUGGCACGGUGCUCGUCCUGUUUUGCCUCGGUGUUUAUGUCAGGUAUAGGUUCGGGCCAUGAGCGGGGACAUUGCGGUGCAGCAUGCAUGCCUUUACGAACCUAAAGAAUCAUUAGGGAGACGUGUACUCUCCUCGAAAAAAGAAAGAUCUUUCACGGUACCCUGAAAAUAACAAGAGCCCUUCAUUUCUAUUAAUCCAACGGAUGGUAUCAACUGGUAAACUGGUACUCCAAUGUGGGUAUUAGUGAGUGCCAACUACUCAUUCCGUUUCAUAAAGAUUGACACGGAUUUGAAUUGUUGUAGUUUAAAUUCGUGCCAAUCUUUAUGAAACGGAGAGAGUAAAAAUGUUAAUGAGUACCUCUUGUUUGAGGGUAAAAGCGUAAUAUAAAAUUAAGUCAAUUGUUACAGAUGGUCUGGUAACUUUAUUAUUUGUUCUCAUCUCACGGCUGCAACAAAAAUCUCGUCUCGAUCCCCAUUAAUCAUUCCUAAGAAGCCUAAUACUUUCGGCUGCAACGGAAUCUAUUCGUCUCGAUCCCCAUUAAUCAUUCCUAAGAACCCUAAUUCUUCAAUCAUGGGGAUACGCGGGAGAGACAGGCAAUCGACGGACGGACGCAAUGUCACGGACUAGUUGAGCAGCGUUGACUGGUUGCGCUAACUCGAGCGGCCGGCCGCCGGCGGAGUGUGAUCACGGAGCCGCUUCAUAUGUUAGCAUUGUUGUGUAGGCUCUGGUCUAUUUGAUCGGCAACGACUACUGAACGAAAACAAAUCCAUCCCCUGGUUGAUCGAUGUUAGCUCUAAUCAUGUACUUGUAUUAGUUUUCAGACUUUGGUUAAUUCAUUUGUAAUAGGGAUUACGUGCAUCGGCUAUUAAUGUGUAGGCCAUGUACUGAACACUGUUCUCUUCUUGACUUGCUCGGCACUUGCGUCACCAGACAAGGAUGGGAGAGGGAGUGUGUGUACAGGACUGCGCCGGCAACGCAUGUCCUGGUGUAUGCUGCUAUGGCAGCUGGUGUAUACCUCCUCAGCUGCGGCUGCUGGAGGAGUUGCUCCUAAGUGAAGCAAAGGAAGGCAACCCCAAUUGAAUAGGGGGGCCGGAAAUCAUCUCUACUUGUGCUGCUCUGUUCUUGGUGUGUGCGUGUGUUUUUGCCCUCUAGGUGUUCGACCAAUUGCCUCUCAUCGAUCCUGUGUGAAAUCGAGCUUGCCGUGGUGUCCACCGUGAAAGUGAGACUGAGUAAGACUUGAUGCUCUACAAUUGGUAUCAUAGCCGACGUUUGGAGGCGUAAGGAGUGGUGAUGCCGGACACGCCGACGCCGAAGGAGCAGGCGGAGGCAGAGAAGAAAUCAGCAGGCGGAGGCAGAGAAGAAAUUGAAGCAGCAGCAGCGUUUGAAACUGGAGGAGGAGAUGAAGGAGAUGGCGGAAAAGCUCAAGGAGUUGGACGUCAAUGGUACGAGCGAUUCCAAGUCCGCUCUGCCAUUGACGACCUUGGCGAGUCCGGCGCCGUCGCACCUCCCGAUUGCGUGGCCGCAGCUGACGCGCACGAACUACACCAUCUGGUCCAUGAAGAUGCGCGUGGCGAUGCAGUCCGCGCACGUGUGGGAGGCGACGCAGAGGUCAGACGUCGACUUCGAUAUGGACCGUGAGGCGCUGUUCGCGAUCUACUCCGCCGUGCCCGACACCGUGAUGUCAUCUCUCGCUGGCCGUGACACUGCAAAGGCCGCUUGGGACGCCAUCAAGACGUCGCACGUCGGGCACGACCGAGUACGGGAAGCAAGCCUUCAGUCCCUGCGCAAGGAUUUUGAAGAGCUGCAGAUGGGUGACGCGGAGUCAGUGGAUGACUUCGCGAGCAGAAUCUCAGCGUUGGUGGCAGGGAUCCGUGCGCUCGGUGACACUCUGUCAGAGCUGCGUGUGGUCCAGAAGUUUCUUCAGGCGGCUCCGGCACACUACAUGCAGAUCGUGACCUCGAUUGAGCAGUGUGUGCCGUUAAACACUCUCACCGUUGAAGAUCUCGUCGGCCAGUACAAGGCGCACGACGAGCGAGUACGUCAACGCUUCGGCAACCCCAAAGAUGGUGAGCAUCUCAUGCUAUCUAGGUCUCAGUGGGAAAACUUUACUGGAAAUAAAAGGAAAAAUGUAGAGGGUACUGGGAACUGGGCAAAGGCAGGGAGCUCAAGCAGUGGUGCUGCUAGUGCAAAGCAGAGCACUGAACAAGCAAAAGGGGAAUGGAAGUUUGACAAGAAGAACAAUUGUGGCAAGAAAGGGCACUUUAAGAAAGAGUGUAAAAAGCCCAGGAAGGAACGAGCCAUGGUUGCCGAGAAGGAAAUUUGAGAUGAAGAACCUGCAUUGCUCAUGGUGCAAACAUGUGAGUUGAUGCAGAGUUCAGAGACUGUUGAUGGUGAAGUAUUUCUGAAUGAAGAGAAGGUUCAGCUGAAGGCUAGAAAUGCAGAGAAUUACGAUUGUGGCGUGUCGUACUUAGACACUGGAGCCACUAAUCAUAUGACAGGGGUCAAGGAGAAAUUCAGUGACAUUGAUGAAACAGUGAAAGGGAAAGUGAAGUUUGGAGAUGGCUCAACUGUGGCAAUUUUGGGACGAGGAACUAUUUUGUUCCAAUGCAAAAAUGGUGAACACAGAGCACUAACAAAUGUGUAUUACAUCCCAUCACUAAAGAGCAACAUAAUCAACAUUGGUCAGCUGUCUGAAAAAGGUUGCAAGAUAGUCAUUGAAGAUGAUUAUCUCCUGUUGUAUGACCCUGGAAGAAGAUUAUUGGCAAGGGUGAAAAGAGCACGUAACAGAUUGUAUAUUCUUGAUCUCAGCUUGACAAGGCCAAUAUGUUUGAUGGCAAAUACAGGGGAUGCUGCUUGGAUCUGGCAUGCAAGGUAUGGGCACUUAAAUUUUGAUGCAUUGCAUAAGCUUGCCAGAAAGAAUAUGGUAGUAGGACUACCUCAGAUAGAUCACAUAGAACAAAUCUGUGAUGGUUGUCCGAUUGGAAAGCAGAGAAGGAAACCUUUUCCUGCAACUGCUACUUUCAGGGCAGAGCAACCGCUAGCACUACUGCAUGCUGAUCUGUGUGGGCCUGUAACACCUCCAACACCUGCAGGAAAUCGAUACUUCUUGCUUGUCGUUGAUGACUACAACAGGUACAUGUGGAUAGUACUGCUGAAGAGCAAAGAUCAAGCACUGGCAGCCAUUCAUAAAGUCAAGAAAAAAGCUGAGAAGGAAGUAAACUGUGAACUGAAAUCUCUUAGGACAGAUAGAGGUGGAGAGUUUAAUUCAAUGCAUUUUAAUGAAUAUUGUGACGAGCAUGGAAUUAAACACUUUCUCACUGCACCAUACUCACCACAACAGAAUGGCGUCGUAGAACGUAGAAAUCAGACAGUUGUCUCAAUGGCAAGAAGUCUAUUGAAGAGUAUGAGUGUGCCUGGUAUAUUUUGGGGAGAAGCAGUUCUUAGAGCUGUGUAUAUCUUGAAUAGAGCUCCCACAAAGAGUGUGAAAGACAGGACACCAUAUGAGGCUUGGUUCAACAAGAAGCCAAAGAUCCAUCACUUGCGCACCUUUGGAUGUGUUGCUUAUGUGAAAAUCACCAAACCAAAUCAGUCAAAGCUUGAUGAUAGAAGCCAGCGUGCUGUGUUAAUUGGAUAUAAACCACUGACAAAAGCCUACCAUUUGUUUGAUCCCGUGACUAAGAAAGUGAUUGUAUCACCUGAUGUUGUAUUCGAUGAAAAAAGGCAUUGGGAUUGGAGUGAAGUGACUGAGCUAGAAAUGCAAGGAGAGGAAAUGAAUUUACUGUUGUGUAUCCUACAUAUGAUGUUGAUACCAGGAAAGCACAAAGGAAGAUAGAACAAUCUGAUCAGUCUUCUGAUGUGGCUCAAAAUGCACCAGCUCUUGGAAAUGAUGAACCUUCUACACCUAACAAGCCUUCUACCCCUCUUGUGCCCAUUCUAGGCACGACUGGGAGUGCUGGUGUGGGAAUGGAGAGUGGAGAACAAUCUUCUAGUGUUGGACCGCAAGGGUAUCGCAAUAUGCAGGAAUUACUUGACAAUACCUCACCCUGUACGCUGGACCUUGACGAUGACAAUCAGUGUAUGUUGAGUGCAGAGGAGCCAGCAACUCUAGCUGAGGCACACAAGGAAGCAAUGUUGGAGGAAGGCGAUGGAUGAAGAGAUGAAAUCUGUCAUUGACAACCAAACGUGGGUUAUGGUUGAUCCACCAACUGGAAAGAAGUCUAUUGGGCUGAAGUGGGUCUAUAAAGUGAAGAAAGAUCCAACUGGAGCAAUUGUCAAGCACAAAGCCAGAUUAGUUGCUAAAGGUUAUGUGCAGAAACAUGGUGUAGACUUUGAAGAAGUUUUUGCUCCAGUGGCACGCAUGGAAUCAGUGAGACUGGCGGGGGCAUUAGCAUCACAAGAGGGAUGGCAGGUAUAUCACAUGGAUGUGAAGUCUGCAUUCUUGAAUGGAGAACUGCAUGAGGAAGUAUAUGUGUGUCAAGCUCCUGGUUAUGAGGAAGCUGGCAAGGAAUAUAAGGUGCUCAAAUUGCAGAAAGCACUUUAUGGUUUAAAACAAGCACCCAGAGCAUGGAAUACCAAACUGGAUGCAAGUUUGUUGACUCUUGGCUUUGCAAGGUGCCCAUUGGAGCAUGGUGUGUACUUGAGAAACACAGGUGAUAACCAGCUUCCAGUUGGAGUGUAUGUGGAUGACCUAAUUAUUUCGGGUUCAAGCACAGUUGAGAUAGAAAAGUUCAAAGAACAGAUGAAAGAAUUGUUUAAGAUGAGUGACCUUGGGUUGCUCUCUUAUUACCUAGGAAUUGAAGUAUCUCAGGGGGUGAAUGGCAUCACACUUUGUCAAGCAGGAUAUGUAUAGAAAAUUGUUGACAAAGGAGGAAUGAGCGAGUGCAAUCCAAGCCCAAUUCCAAUGGAAUCGAGACUGAAGCUAUACAAGUCACAGGAAGAAGAAAGAGUGGAUCCUACAAUGUACAGAAGUCUCAUUGGGAGUUUGAGGUAUCUCAUCAAUACGAGACCUGAUCUUGCUUAUGCAGUAGGCAUUGUUAGUAGGUUCAUGGAAGAUCCUGGUGUAUCACACAUGGCUGCUGUAAAGCAUAUACUAAGGUACAUCCGUGGAACCAUUACUUUUGGUUGUCAUUAUACCAGAAGAGGAGAAGGAUAUUCUGGACUUGUUGGCUAUUGUGAUAGUGAUUUGGCUGGAGAUGUAAAUGACAAGGAUAUUCUGGACUUGUUGGCUAUUGUGAUAGUGAUUUGGCUGGAGAUGUAAAUGACAGGAAGAGCACAAGUGGUAUGAUCUUCUUCCUUGGCUCCAACCCAAUCACUUGGGUCUCGCAAAAACAGAAAGUGGUUGCUCUUUCAUCAUGUGAAGCAGAAUAUAUAUCUGCAGCUACUGCAGCUUGUCAAGGAGUAUGGCUAGGCCGCUUACUUGCUCAACUGCAGAACAAGGAGAUACAUUGCGUGAAGCUGAAGAUCGACAACCAAUCUGCUAUCUCCUUGUGCAAAAAUCCUGUCUAUCACGACCGCAGUAAGCACAUUCAGACUCCAUACCAUUUCAUUCGAGAUUGUGUGGAGGAAGGAAGCGUGGCUGUGGAGCAUGUGAGGACAGGUGACCAAUUUGCUGAUUUGCUGACGAAGCCAUUGCCUCGGAUAAAGUUUCUGGAACUUAGGGAGAGGAUCGGAGUUCGUCCAGUGAAGAUACAAGUACAAGAUUAAGGGAGAGAUUGUUAGCUCUAAUCAUGUACUUGUAUUAGUUUUUCAGACUUUGGUUAAUUCAUUUGUAAUAGGGAUUACGUGCAUCGGCUAUUAAUGUGUAGGCCAUGCACUGAACACUGUUCUCUCCUUGACUUGCUCGGCACUUGCGUCAGCAGACAAGGAUGGGAGAGGGAGUGUGUGUACAGGACUGCGCCGGCAACGCACGUCCUGGUGUAUGCUGCUACGGCAGCUGGUGUAUACCUCCUCAGCUGCGGCUGCUGGAGGAGUUGCUCCUAAGUGAAGCAAAGGAAGGCAACCCCAAUUGAAUAGGGGGGCUGGAAAUCAUCUCUGCUUGUGCUGCUCUGUUCUUGGUGUGUGCAUGUGUUUUUGCCCUCUAGGUGUUCGACCAAUUGCCUCUCAUCGAUCCUGUGUGAAAUUGAGCUUGCCGUGGUGUCCACCGUGAAAGUGAGACUGAGUGAGACUUGAUGCUCUACAAUCGAUACAAUUAGUUGCCAUGUUCGUUUGGGCUGGGAGACCAACGUGAUGAGGAGAUCGGAGGAAAAACAGCGGCGCCCAUGCAAAGGAAAGAAGCAGCGGCGCAUGGAUUGUAACAGCGAGUACGAGACCGGAGGGGAACGUGUGCUUAAGGGUCGGCCGGCGUCGGCGGCGUGACUGGCCGCUUGAAUUGGAAGGCGGCGGCUGCGACUUGCGGUGUCUACAUGAUAGGCACGAGAAUUACCAAAAAAAAUACACCUGAUAAUACCGGUACAAAAGACUAAAUUAUCCUUUUAAACAGAGGGCUAGAUUUAGAUGGUACUUCUGUCUCUAAUAAAGAGUACCGGGUUACUGUAAAAAUCCUCAAAAAAAAAAGUGUACUCACGUGUGUGAAGUGUGAUAUGUACAUGUAAAUGACGCGUUGUCAUAGUUCCGAGAAGCGAAAAUGUAGACCUACGAUUUCAUAUUGAAUUGACAUGGCCACCUACGAAUUUCGUAUUCAAUCGACAUGGUCGCAUACUCACAUGGACAUCUCAAUGGCUCCUGUACGUCGCCACAGAUCAACAAUGAGAAGUAUUGCACCACAAAAAAUCUUGCUAUGUAAAUGAAAUUCUAAGGGAGUGUCUAUUUCUCACUCGACUUAGAAAUAGUUAUUCCUUAGUCGACAAUCACAAACAUACAAUGAAGGUUUUCCCAUCCUUCAUAUUUACAUCAAUUUUGCACGAAUCUUAAUGAUUGGAUCCGACGACAGUUAGCAUUGACUAAACAUAGUUAUUUCUCAAUCGAUUCAGAAAUAGUAAAACCAAAAUCCUAAACUAUAUAUAACGCAUGUUCUAUACAUGGUGAUGCAAGGCAAAUAGAAUAGACACCACACACUUAAGGGGAUGCCGAGUGGCCCGUUCCGAUCGAUUUUCCUAGCACUCGCGACAACAAAAGCCCAAAUCUCUUCCUCCGACGUGAUUGCGACUCGCUAGCAUGGCUGCCGGAAAGCAAUGAGACCCUCCAUAAUUAAUGUCGGGAGGGAAAGUUAACUUGUAGGGAUAGUCCCUCCACGUGGAAGUGAGCUAGCAAACGUCCAACGCAGCCCAAAAGUCCAGCUCACCUGAAUCGUUAAUCUCAGCCACAUCGAAUGGCCGAGAUGCCUCCUUGAGAGAGGAGCAGAAACCCUUAUCUCCGCAGUAGAGAGUUCCCUUGUUGGUUGCUGAGAGUGAGAUAUUGAGCAAGGGAGUGAGAGCAGCGCGCGCGCACAACCAAAGAGAGGGGAGAAGAGAGGAAGAAAAACUCUGUCCAGAUUGGUGGCUCUGUGUUGAUCUUCACCGAGCUUGUUCGUUGCUGGCUCAAACGUGGUUGGAUCAACUCCAAACUUGUUGAGUUUGUUCCAGACUCAGAGAACUUCGAUUUGGCAAGUCGGUUUGAGAAUUAAGUGGUCAGAACACCAGAUUAGAGAUUGUUUCGUCAGAUCUGUUUGCUGAAAUUUCAGAGGCGUGCAGAUUGGGCUAUUGUCAGUUUCAGGGGUCAUACAGUGUCAUAUUGAGCUUAACUUUUGACAGCGUGUUGAGGACUCAUAGCAGUACAUAUAUGGCAAAUUUCAUGCAAUUUGAAUCAACGCUUUAAGAAUAAUAAUGUAAAAACCGAAUAGGACCAAAACUGUGUUUCUUUGUUAGCCGAGUUUAAUCUAUAUCCUAUUGCUCUUUUUAAGAGUGGUUGCUGUUAAUGAUUGUUGUAAUAAAAUAAAACCCUUAUAUGGGUCGGGCCGUAAAUUCUACUUGGCGACGACUAAGUCAACAUUUUCCAAGCAUGAGUCAACAUGCUCACGUGGCGUAGUCAAUUCUACAUGGAAAAGGAAGACAAGUUAACAAGUAAAGUCUCUCAUGCCAUGGUCAAAGGGAGGAAUGAGCUAGAGUAGGGGACAAGAAAGGUGUAGGGAUGAGGAUUUUGGUCCAUGGUGGAUCAUGGACCAACCCUCACUUUUCCCACAUGGUGCACAUAAAAAAAAUGGACCAAGAAGCUACUUUUACCAUUUUGCCCCCACUUUUCUCUCUCCCCCAAUGGUAGCCAUGGUCUUUUGUCAUGGACCCCUAGGCUAUAAAUACCCCCCCAGGGGGCAUGUAUCAUUCACUCUCAACUUGAAUAAACUCAAGGGGAGAGGGUUAGAGUGCUCCCUCUAAGGUUCGCUCUCAAACGCCGCUUUCGACUAAAAGUCGACCGGCCUCGAGGAAGCCUUCCAGGGGAUUCUAGUUUCGAGGCUCCGAGCUAACCUUGGUUAGCACGGGCUCGAAGGAGAAGGGGUUGGGUUAGAGUUCCGAGGGUAUCCUAACCUCGAUACUUGGAAAGACGCGUUCGGUCCAAGUAUGAGGUGGCCCCGAUGAAUCUCUUGCUAAAGGUGUCUUGGGAAGAUCCGCUCGGCCCAAGCACUUGGCUAACAACCCCCUCAAAGCCUUUUCUAACAUAGGAUUAAUUAAGUCGUACCCGCAGGGUCGACCGAACCUAUUAAAAAAAUAUCGAUGUGUCAACCUGUCCAAGUGUACACGCCCUACUUUUAUACCCGCACUUAUGCCAUCAAGCAUUGGCACCCCUUACUCUAAUUGUUGUCGAGAACAACAACAGUGGCGCCGACCGUGGGGAACCCUUGCCGCAAUUGAAGAUUUAAUGGCCCCGAUGAAGCCUACUUCAUCGGGUGCCCAACUUGCCGCGAAGUCUACACGGUUGCAAAUGAAGAAAGCAAACUCCUCGGGGGCUCCCGAGGAAGAAGGAAUCCUCACCAAUCCGGACGUCGUCGCAAGCAUGGUCGCCACAACGGAAGUUGUGGUCGCACCUCCGCUCCCGGCCGUCCCUGAAGGAACCGAGGUCCCUCGACACUUACCGACGUAAUGGCAAGGAUCGACGAGCUGCCUACACUUGCCACCUCCGCAGGGGAUACGGAACUCGGCAUGCCUCGCUCGAUGGGCUUCGCACCACCUUCCCUACAACCGGUAGCGACCUUGCCCUCGGAAUAUACAAGAGGAAACAAUGUGGCGUCAGAAGGAUCCGCACCAGAAAACAAAGGAGUCUCGGCCUACAACCCCUCCAACCCGGGACUGCCUCCGCUGGUGCUCGCUGCGAUCGGCCAUGGAGCUCCUGGGUAUCAUCCUUAUUGGGGGCUUCCGCUAAAUGGCGCUCUCCAAGUCGCACAUGCUCGACACCAACCUCACUUGGUGAACGCCCCGCAAGCGCCCUUUGCUCCCCCCACUGGGGUCGAGCAAGGUGGCAACCAAGUACCACCUCAAGCUAUGCCUCGCGGAGAACGAGACCCCGUCGUGCAUGGAAAUGAGCAAGUGGCGGAGUCCGGAGCCCGUCCCGACGGUGAAAGAAAUUCCCGUCGAUGCUCCGACCCCCAAGAAAACGCCGAGAUCAUUCUCCAAGCGACCCUUCUUGCGACGAAAGCGACUUCGACGAGGGAGGACCUCGCCGCCGAAGGAACCGGAAGAACUGGCCGACUUGUAACCCGCUCACACGGGAGAUCCAAGACGUGCCUUUUUCGCCAAGGUUCAAGCCGCCUACAAUACGACCGUAUGACGGGGAGUCAAAUCCUCUUCAGUUCCUGGAUGUCUACUCCACCGCCAUACGGGCCGCCGGGGGAGGUCGCGUCGAGAUGUGCAACCUCUUUCCGCUCGCGCUCACCGGGAUGGCGCAAACUUGGUUUUAUAACCUGCGGAAGAACUCCGUGCACUCGUGGGAGCGCCUCCAAGAGGUCUCCAUCGCCAACUUUCAGGGAAACUUCGAAGAACCCGUGCAGGCUCACGAGCUAUACGCCAUGAAACAAAAUUAGGGGGAAUCCCUCCGAAGCUUCUUCCCUCGCCACCGUGAUCGACGCAUGCAUGCAAGGCCUUCUCCAAGGAGAAGUAUAUCGGGCCCUAAGUCGCAACCCCUCGAAGAUGACCUAGGAGCUCUAUCGAAUCUUGCAAGAAUACGCCCGGGGUGAAUACAGGGACAUUGCCAAAAAGGACGCGCCACGCGCCGCUCCCGAAGGAACUCCCUCACCCAACAAACCACCUACGCCUACUUCGUCUUCCAAGAAGAAGAGGAGGUGGGGGAAAAAGGCCCCCGGCGACCAAGCCCGGAAGAUCUUCGCCGUUGAAGGACAAGCAUCAUCCCAAAAGACUUGGCAACCCAAGAAGCCACCUCGCCCCGCCGAGGGAGGAACUGGAAGAUGCCUCAUCCACAACUCGGCAAGCCACAGCACCGAAGAGUGCAACACUCUCAUCGCGGCUCGCGAAGAGUUCCAGGCACGAAUGCAAGCCUGGCGCAAGGAUGAAAAGAUAGCCGAGGCUCCACGCCUCGCCAACGUCCUUGUCGCUGACCCGACACCUAAGGAGGAUAACCUCCCGAUUCAUUAACCCGCGCAUCACGUCGGAGUGAUACUCGGAGGCUCCGCCACAGGCCGGGGAUCGAAGUGGCAACGCAAGGAAUAUGCUCGCGAAGUCAACGUCGUGAGAACCUUCACCCUGACACCACCACCAAAGUGGGCGAGCAUGCCAAUUGCCUUCACCGAGGAAGAGGCCAAGGGGAUACGCUUCCCACACGACAACGCCCUUUUCAUGACAGCGAUUGUCGCCAAUUGUGAGCUCAAGAAGAUUCUUGUGGAUGGCGGAAGUUCCACUGACAUCCUAUAUCCGAGCACGUUGAAGAAGCUGAUUGAACCACAAGGGGGAUACCAGAAUGGCUCGUUGCAGCCAUCCCUUUAUCCUCUCACUGGCUUUGUGCCAGGGAAGUCCAUUCAGCCGCUCGGACAAAUUGAGCUCCUCACGACCUUCGGAGACGCCACAAAUCAUCAAACUGAGCUCGUGCGCUUCGACGUGGUGGAUAUAGAGGCCUCCUUUAACGCCAUCCUCGGGAGGACGACGCUAAACCGUCUCUGCACCGCCAUCCACCACAACUUCUUGUGCAUGAAGAUCCCGGGCCCAAAGGGCGUGAUAACGGUCCGCGUCGAGCAAUCUUCCGAUAGGAAGACACUCUACCGCCAUGAGACCAAGUGCGCCGAAAAGGGAUAAUCAUCCAAGAGUAUCAGCAUGCUUUCGAACACGGGAGCAUCCGAAACCGAUCACCCAGAGCGCUACAUCCCUAAGCCUCUCCCCAAAGAAGAACUCAACGAAGUACGCGUCUCCCAAGAUGACGCCACGCGCACGGUGAAGAUUGGAGCCGACCUCCUGAGUAAACUCGAGGAAGAACUUGUCGACCUACUUCGAAAGAAUUCUGAUCUCUUCGCUUGGUCACCUUUCGACAUGGGAGGAGUCCCGCGCGACGUCAUGGAGCAUCGCCUCGCCGUGAGACCCGACAAAGCUCCCGUAAAGCAAAAGCUUUGGAAACUCUCCACCGAGCAAAGCGAAGUCAUCAAGCAAGAAAUCGCCAAACUCUCCGACGCUGGGCUCAUCCGAGAAGUUUGGCACCCCGAAUGGUUAGCCAAUCCGGUCUUGGUAAAGAAAGCCAACGGCAAGUGGCGAAUGUGUGUCGACUUUACGGACUUGAAAAAGGCGUGCCCCAAUGACGACUACCCGCUCCCUCGGAUCGACCAACUGGUCGACUCCACGGCGGGAUGCGAAAGGUUGAGCUUCUUGGAUGCCUAUUCAGGGUAUCACCAAGUCCACAUGGCCAAGGAAGACGAGGAAAAGACCAGCUUCAUCACUUCCAUCGGCACCUUCUGCUAUCGCAGAAUGCCUUUUGGUUUGAGGAACGCCGGUGCAACUUUCCAACACCUCAUCAGCCUCAUCCUCAAAGAACAAUUGGGGAGAAACGCCGAAGUCUACGUUGAUGACACCGUCAUCAAAAUUCAAAUUGCGAAGACCCAUUCGAAGGACCUGCAAGAAACCUUCGACAAUCUCCGCAAGUAUGGCAUAAAGCUCAAUCCGGAGAAGUGCGCAUUCAGAGUUCGAGAAGGAAAACUCUUGGGCUUUCUUGUCUCUCAACAAGAGAUCGAGACCAACCUGGAGAAAAUCCGGGCAAUCCUAUAGAUGGAGACUCCUCACUCCGUCAAAGAUGUGCAACGCCUAGCGGGAAGAAUGGCGGCCUUGGGACGAUUCGUCGCCCGGUCAACUGAGAAGGGUCUUCCUUUUUUCAAAGGCUUGAGAAACCUAGACAACUUUGAGAGAACCGACGAAGCUCAAAGGGCCUUCGAAGAGCUCAAGACCUAUUUGUCGACCCCUCCACUUCUCACGAGCCCAAAGCAGGGGGAGCCUUUGCUCCUGUAACUUGCCGCGACCCCGGUCGUCGUAAGUGCAGCACUCAUGAAGGAAGAAGACGGGUUACAACGCCCGGUAUAUUACGUGAGCGAAGCUUUGGGAGGAGCAAAGGGUCGAUACACCCAUAUUGAGAAGAUUGCAUACGCCCUCCUCAUGGCCUCUCGAAAACUCCGUCAUUACUUCAUGGGCCACACCCUCAUGGUGCCAACUACCUUCCCACUCAUGGAACUCUUCAGCAAUAAGGAGGCCACCGGAAAAAUCGCCAAAUGGAGAACGGAAUUGGCUCCCUUCUCGCUGGAACUCACAGCGAGAACGGCCAUAAAAUCCCAAGUCCUGGCUGACUUUGUGGCCGAGUGGCAUGCUCCACUAGCCCCGCCCGAAGAAAUUGCAUCCAAGACCGAGCCCCCAGAACCACAUUGGUUAAUGAGAUUCGAUGGCUCUAAGCGCCUCGACGGUGCGGGGGCUGGAGUCAUACUUAUCAGCCCCGAAGGCAAGAUCUUGGAGUACGCCGCCCAUCUUGACUUCAAUGCCACCAACAAUAUGGCAGAAUAUGAGGCGCUCCUUCUCAGACUUCGAUUAGCCAAGGCCAUGGGAGCCCGACGCCUUCUCAUCCAAGGAGACUCCCAACUGGUGAUAAACCAAAUGGACAAGUCAUAUCAAUGCCUUGAUGAAAGGAUGAAGAAAUAUAUCGAAGAAGUUUGCAAGAUGGAACGGUAUUUCUUGGGCAUGGAGGCGCGACGUAUUCCACGAGGAGAAAAUCACCUGGCCGACAGGUUAGCCCGAACGGCCGGUUCCAAAGAACCGCUGCCGCCCGUUGCAUGCUUCGAAGUAAUUCGCGCCCCAUCGAUAAAGGAAGAAGCCGACGCCCUUGAUGAAGCUUCAAAGACCAGCAUGGUCAUCGACACUCCACCCUCUUGGAUGAUACCGAUUAUCCGCACCUUGAAAGGAGAGGUGGAUCAAGAAGUGGAAGGCCCGAGUGCCAAAACUCUGCUCGCAAAAGCCAAGAUGUACGUCCUGCUCGACGGCAUCCUAUACAAGAAAGGAGCGGCCGCAUUGCUUAAGUGCAUAACUCCUCACUGAGGAGCCGAGCUCCUCAUGGAAAUCCAUUCAGCAAUAUGCGGCCACCAUCUUGCGCCAAGAGCCACCGCGGCAAAAGCCUUACGUCAGGGAUUCUGUCGUCGCACGGGGCUCCGACACUGGGGAUGCGCGAGCACCCCAUUUAUAGGUUCGGCAGUGGGCUACGGGGAUCGCUUCGGCGAUCGCCGGCGGGACCAAUGCGAGGCGUAGGAAUACACCAUGAACGCUACCAAGUGCACAUGCACACACUUUUUACCCCGGUUCGGGCCACCUUGGGGUGUAAAACCCUACGUCCUGCUUGUCUGAGCUUCUAUCACUGUAAAAUCGGCUGUUUACAGGUUGCCGGGGAAGGGUCCCCGGGUGCUCUCUUUUUGGCUAAAUGUUCCUUUCUACUUUGGGCUACUCCAAGUGUUGCGCUACGAGUUGGCUCUGUAAACGAACCAACGAACGAACUGAAUGCCAGAAAAACGAAGCAAAAGCUGAACCCUUUGAUCGUAGGCGAGGUCCUCCUUUUGUAGCCAAGGGGAUACCACAGGUGCCACGGUGCAUGGUUUACAAGUGGCGAGCAAGGAGCUUAGAUAGCUCCCCCUCGGCGUGCUGGCAUGCAUGCAUGAGCGCCAACCCCGCUGCUAGGGGUCUAGAGCCUAACAAAUAGGACUGGACAGCCACUGUUCGCCCGACUAGACGGAUAACGCCCCUUCUGACGGCUCACUAAAUGCGUAGCGCGCUUCACUCCUCGCCCUGGUGGAACUGUUCAUUGGGCGCAUGGCACGCGCCCACGUGGCCCCGCUGCUCCGCUCGCUCGGCCCCGCCCUCAUGGCGGGAACCUACGCCGGGAACCCCUCCUCCCGGCAAGUGACUUCCCGGGAGGCGCCCAGGCGGGAAUAUUCCCCGAAGCCCCGCUAGCCCUUCCGGGCUGGUAGCUUGCUGGGCAGCCUGUACGUUGCCGCCCGGGGUGAGACCCUCUCGGGAACUCAGCGAUGCGACCCACGCGUCGUGCAACGGUGGUACCCCAGGUGCCACUGGUGCGACAGUAGCCCCGGGCGUGGGCCGGCAACACCCGUUCCUGGGCAAACCCUCCCCUGGUUGGUUGCCGGGCUAAGCCCCAACCGACACGUGGGUCCCAACUUGCCUUGGGCCCGCGUCUCUUCGCCAUCCCAGGUAUCCUGCCGUUAUGGACGGAGUAGUGGGUGCGUGAUUCCCGCCGUAACCUCCCCCUUAAACAGGGAAGUUAAGGCCACUCUUCCCAUUAUCCCUUUGAUUAGCAAUUAUCCCAGCGCGCCCGUAGUGUGCGGAACCGGCCGUUACCAAACGGCAGGGUGUUAUAAAGUUUUUUACUACUGCACCGAGGGGAAAAACACUUUGCCCCCAGCCUUCGUCUUCCAAUUUCUUCGCAUCUUGCGCCCAAGAGCUUUGCUAGCUUCUGCCUCCGCUCCCCAUGGCGCCCCCCACCACCAGGAAGGGAAAGGAGGGGAGGCCCCCCAGGAAAGCGGGGGCCAGCAAGAGCGAGGCGGCCGCCAAGGACCAGAAGAAGCGGGCGAUGAGGGCCUCGCUCGCCUUCUACCGGCCGGCUACAAUGGCGAGGUGCUGGCCAAGAUCCAACGCGCUGUUGUCUUUGGGUUCAAUGAGCACGGGGAGACCCUGAUCCUCCCCGCGGGCGCCGACCACCAGGAAAACGACUUCCGGGUGUUCGGGCGCUUCCUCCUCACCGGGCUGGUGCCGCCGUUCUCCCUGUUCCUCCACGCGUUGAUGGAGUCGUACCAGCUGCGGGUGGCACAGCUUCACCCCACGUCGCUCUACCUCCUUGCCACCUUCCAAUUCCUCUACGAAGCAUUUGUCGGGGUGAUGCCGUCGGUGGCACUAUUCCGGCAUUUAUUCUACCCCCGGAUGGAUAACGCGAAUGCGAUGUCGUCGGGGGUGGUGUUCCGCGCCCGCGACCGGAUGAAGUCCGAGUUCAUCGUCUGAUCAGAGAAGAAGAUCGAGAAAGAGUGGCGGGGCGACUGGUGUUGGGUCCGGGUAGAAGACCCUCAGGAGUUCAUCCUCUCACCCUCCGAGCUGCCGCAGCCCCACAGCGGCUGGCGAGACCGGUACACCGCGACGCCGAUCUCCUCCCCAUCGUGGAGAAGAUCAAGACUUUGCGGAUGGCAGGGCUCACCGAUGUUGACGUGGCCCACACCUUCAUCAACCGGCGCGUCGCGCCGCUCCAAUUGUGCUCCCGGGUCGCGUGGAUGUACACGGGUCCUGGGGACAGGACACGCCUCCACCGCGAAAGCGUGGACCGGGAAUCCGUCCAAGUGUGGGUGAAGGGGAUCUCCGGCGAGGAUCUUCCUGCUACGGGGUUCCCACCGGGGGUCAUCUGCCUCCACGCCGGCGUUGCGGGGCUCAACGACAUCGUUGCCUCCUUCCCACCCUGCAACGAGUGGGGAUUAGUGGACGACACCCCCACUCUCGGACCCCGCGCGCUCUCCUGCCAGCAACUCACGGGAAGAAGGUGCUUGAGGAGAGCGGGGGCGAGUCAGAGAUAAGCUGGCCCUCCCUUCGGUCUUCGGACGACGAGGUGAGCCAGCCUGCCAUGCCCCAGGCGGUCGUCCCUGUGGACGACGAUGAGGAGGACAGUGACGACGCGCCCCUGAUUGUGCGACAAUCAAGGGCGUAUGCAGCGGCUGCGGCUACCUCCACAGCAGCCGCGGCGGCAUCCGCCCUAGCGGCGGCUACCAGCUCUGCGGCGACAGCCGCCCUAGCGGCGUGCGCCGGCACUUCGGCGGCGACCGCACCCGUGGCAGUUUCCGGAGCCACGGUGGUGACCACCCUGGUAGCGACCGCCAGCGACCCGGCGGCGGCUAUUUCAGCAGCGGCUGCCACACCGGGGACGGUCCCCGACGUCACGGCGGCCUCAUCGUCAUUGCCCGCGGUGCCCCGGGCCGAGGCACCCCCACGGGCACCCACGGCUCCGCCCGCUCGGGGGGUCUUUCGGGGCUUCGCGCUCCGGCACAAUCCCUCGAGGGCCGACUCGUCGGCGAGCACCAGCAAGAGGGGGAGGGACGACUCCCCGCCUGCCACGCGUAGCAAGAAAGCGCACGUGCAUGCCAGCUGCAUUGCCGGCCCGGUCGGCUCUUGGGCCAGCGGCGCCACCAUCGCACCUGCCGGCGACACAACCCCAACGGAGGAGGCGCCUGGAACAGGUACAACUCUUUCUUGCCUUCUUUCCUUUUACUUUUGAUUGCCAGCUAAUCACGUAACCGAACCUUUUCUCACAGUAGGCGACACUCCGCCCGCACCAAGCCUCCUAGAGACCCCUGCCGGGAUGGAGGAUGGGGGGGAGGCUCCCCCCGCAAGCCCAACGGCCCUGCAAGGUAACCAUACUGAUCCCCCUUAUCCGUCUCCGGGCAACUUUUUAACUUCCCGCUUCUCACACGUCUCGCCGCUGCAGGCCCAAGUGCACCCGCACCGGGAGCGGGUGCUGCCAUGGUUGACCUCGACUCCGACGUCGAGGUCACGGGGGCGGCGGAGGAGCCGGAAGCGGCCCCCGUGCCAAGCCCUGCUGCGCCAGCCAUGACGGCAGCGGUGACCAUCGCCACCACCGGGACGGCGCUCGGCGAUGCACUAGCAGCCGCGGACGCUGCUGGCACGGAUUCUUCUGCUGCCCAGCAGGGGACGGCCCCUGCCGGGGGUGCGGCAGCCGCACCAGCCCUGCAGUCCCCAGGCACGGGUGAGGUUGCCGGAGAGGAGCGACAGGACACUCCGGCACAAGCAGACGACCCCCCCACCCAGCUCCACGGUGGCAGCGGGGGCUUCGUCGUCGUCGGCUGCCUCCUUCAACACCGACCUCGGCACCCUUGCCGGGGUGGCUUGGAAUCCCAUCACCUGGGAUCCGAGCGUCUUCGAGCGAGGGCACCGGUUCCUCGACACCGUGAAGGACCAGCAACUGGUCUUCAUCACCUCCUUCAACGAGGUGAGGGAGCAUCAUGCAAUCGCCAAGAGAUAGCUUGGCGAGCUGCGGCAAGUCGUGGAACAAGAGCGGCAAGAGCUCUCCCGGCUGCGUGAGGAGACGCGCCUUGCCAGAGAGGAGGCGCGCCUUGCCUGGGAGGCCCUGGAGGAUGCCAACACACCGGUCGUCUCGGAAGCAGAGCUCUACCGGUGACUGGAGGCUCAGCACACCGAGCUCCAAAGAGCUCUGGACUUGCAGGUGGCGGCUCAAGCGGAAGCCAAGAAGGAGCACGCCAAGGUGCUCGCUGCCGCCCAGGCUCGGAUCGAUGAGAAGAGCGAUCUGAUCGCCAACUACCGCGGUGAGAUUCAGGGCUUGUGCGUCAAGCUUGAGGUGCAGGUCAAGGCCACCGAAAGCGCGGUGGAAGCAGCGGCCCAGCAUGAGAUUCAGCUCGGCGCCGCCAAGGACAGAGCGGCCUGGCUCAAGACCGAGCUGGCCACUGUCUGGGAGGAGCUUGCCAAGGCCGGCAAGGACAACGCGGCCAAGGCCGCGGAGCUCAUGACGAUGGAGAGCCACCUCCGCAAGGCCAAGAAGGCCGCGCAUGACUCCCGGCUCCACCAUGGCAUGCUGAUCGGGCAGCGGCAGCUGGAGACCGAGAAGCUGCUCAAGAUCGCCCAGGCGCUGCGUAACUUGCUGCCCAGGUUCGAGCUGCAGGCCGCGGCGGUGGACGGCACGGACGUCUCGACGCUGAUCCCGUUCUUCUCCGACCUGGUGGGGAAGCUCGGGGGGCUCGACCUCUGGAUCGCCCAGUUCGGCACCAACGAGGUCCCAACUGUGCUCGGGAGGUUGUCGGGACGAUCCUCCCGAGGAUACAUCUCCGGGACCCGAAGUUUCCGUUCGAGACGCUGCUGGACGCUUGGUCGGAUAGCGAGGACGAACCCACCCACACUCAGGCAGUGCAAGGGUUCAUCGACGAGGUGGUUGAGCGGAUGCAGAGGAAACCGGACCCCGAGCCGUCCCCGGAGCCCCCGGUUGAAGACGCUGGCAACUAGUUGCCGCAGCCUCCUGCUGGCCCCUAUUGCUUUUUGUUUACCUUCUUUUGUUUUCGUCCUGCAAGUGCGGUGCUUCGCGCCGGUUGAACAAUUACAUUUUCAUUAGUUAAUCAAGCUUUUUAGUUCUGCUUAAUCUUUGUUCCUUGUUCCUGGGGCUGCCUCGCGGGGUGGAUCCCUUUGCCUUUGUGCGCUGUGCCUUGUGUUGCCGGGGACUCGCGCGCCUCACUCUUGACCAGACCAGGGACCCGGGACGGACCCGCAGUGCCAACCUGGGGUCAAGCAGUAGCGGUGAGCCACUCCACUUGCGGCGUAACUACUCCAAGCCAUGCACUCCCGGGACGGACCCGGAAGCCGCAUGGGGAGUGCACUCCCCCCGCGAGCGUCCUUCUAACACCCCAGCCACACGCAGGUUCCGGGGGCACCCUUAGCGAGGCAGCGUUCAGUUACGUUCAGUUCUUAAAGAGUUUGUCAUUCAGGUUCAAGCACUUAGCUUUUCAUUUGGUCUCAUGCGCGGAACGUUUGCUUGCUCGCCUGGCAUGCCGCCCUUGAGAAAGCCUGUUUGAGGGAUGCGGCAGGAACACCACGGCAGGAUUGCCGUCGGUGACAAGCGCUGAUGACGAUGCUACCGCCGCGUCUCCGUGGCAACCCUCGCCUUUGGAAAGCCCCCGCUUUCGGAGGAACCUGUUCCGAGGGGUGCGGCAGGGACGUCGUGACUUUCUCGCCACCACCGGCAGACGCGGGCGGCGAGGACAUCACGACGUCCCCGCAACAGCCCUCGCUGCUUGGGAAAAUCUGCCUGAGGGAUGCAGCAGGGACGCUAUGGUGGGCCGGAGCGAACGGUAGACGCCGGCACCGGCAGCAUGCGUGGUGCCCCGCCCCUUGGAGUGCGGUACGACUCCGCCACUCCGCAUGCCAAGCCACUCUGGCACACGUGGCGGCUUCCCCCUGAAUCAGGAGCCUCAAAGUGUGGUCGCUCCGCACCACAAGGCGCUGCUACACGCCACGACUCGAGGGCAGUCCACGGGUAUCAUAGUGCGCAAAAUUCCACCUUUACCCUGCACAUUAGAUUCUUACCAAGCCCAAGAUGCUGCAAUGUUUUUUGAAAUUCACGAAAACACAGAGCAAUAUGGAUAAUCUCCUGCCUCCCAGCACCCGGGCACGGAAGGGUCGAUGGCAAACUUGGGUGUGAGCACUUUAUUUCCCAGACGCAGCGAGUGCGUGGUGCACGUUGCGGGAAGUCCGACAACUGCAUGUCCCGUGCUGGAGCGAUCCGGCAACGGGUUUAUGUUUUCGAGGCUCCGGCAGCCCCCUGCUCACAACCAAAUAUGGAAAGACACUUCUGUGCACCCCAAGUAGGAGACAGAAGAAGGAGGAACAUGCAAAUAAACGAGGCAAUUUUAAAAUUCAGGAAAAAACACUUAUCUUUAUUCACAAUAACUAGUGGUUUACACGCGGGGGUUGCCCGGCUGCACUAGUUUGAGAGGUAUGCAUCGGCGACAUCACCUGUGGGUCGGGCUCCGCCGCUUCACGGGUAGAACUUGCGCAAGUGCUCAAUAUUCCAGCUAUUUUGCACCGGCAAGCCAUCUUUGGUUUCCAGCCGAACAGCCCCGGUCUGGUCACAUGCACUACCCGGAAGGGGCCCUCCCAUUUUGGAGUCAACUUGUUCCCGGCCUUCGUUCCUUGUAUCUGGCACAGGACAAGGUCUCCGUUCUCGAGCCCCCGGGGACGGACUUGUCUGUUGUGAUAACGACGGAGUCCCUGCUGGUAGCGCGCGGCUCGCACAGCAGCCCGGCAUCGAAACUCUUCGAUGAAGUUCAGAUCGUCAACCCUUUGCUCGUGUUGGCUGGAGUUGCCGUACGUGCGUACUCAGGGAGAUCCGUGCUUGAGCUCGAGGGGCAGCACCACUUCUGCCCCGUAGACAAGGGCGAAAGGGGUUUCGCCCGUUGCCCGACUAGGUGUGGUUUUGAUUGACCACAGCACGGGCUGGAGUUCUUCAACCCAGUGUUUCCCGUGGCCUUUGAGCUUGUCAAAGGUUCUCGUCUUGAGCCCCCGCAGCACUUCCGCGUUUGCUCGCUCCGCCUGCCCGUUACUCCUUGGGUGAGCAACAGACGCGAAGUGUAUUUUGGUGCCCAGGCCCUUGCAGUAGUCCUGGAACGCCGUGCUCGUGAAUUGCGUGCCGUUGUCGGUGAUGAUGCCGUUAGGCACCCCAAACCGGCACACAGUUGUCUUGAAGAACUUGAUGGCCGCCUGGGCGGUCACAAACUGCUCGCGCAGGUCCGCCCAAGUGGCGAUGGACCCGGCAGGCAGGUUGAGCAGCCAGGUUCUCGCUGAUCCUUUCAGGACCAUCGGGAACCAGUUGGUUCUGACCUUGUCGUCAGCGCCGAUGGCGUGCAUCCCCAACGUGUAGGUUAGGAGGAAGGAAAUCCUCGGGAUUUACGGUCCCAUCGUACGUACCGAGUGCGGGCGCUCGGAACUUGCGGGGCCAUGUCACCUGCUGCAGUUCGCGCGUGAACGCGGUGCAGCCAUCCUCAGGACCCAUAGGAGCAUCUUCCUGCUCCUGCGGGCGUGGGCGCUCUACCUCGCGCCGACGCCGGCGCUCCAGGCGCGGGCGCAGAUCCUGUUGCUGGCGGGCAUUCAAAAUACCACGCGCGUUACCUCGCGUGACGGUGGGUGACGAGUCCGAGGACCCCUCUGGGUCCCCGUCCCCGUGGCCUCCCCGCAAGGGAGGGUCUUCCCCUCGUCGCGAGGCGCGGGGCGCGUCUCCGCGCUCCGGGUUCUGCCCGUGGCCGGAGCCUGCCGGGACGCCCUCGCCCUGCGGCUGUUGGGUGGCGAGCGCGAGGAGCGCGUCCAACUCCUCGCCCCAUGUCUCGUGCGCCGGCGUGCCCUCCUGUGGUUCGUACCGCACCAUGACGCGCGCGGCGAUGAUGGCCUCCACCGGGGUCCGCGCGACUGCCCUCCACCUUAUCCCCAGACGUACCCGGGUGCGUGGGGUGCGACCCCGCCGGCAUCGCUCGCGACGCAGUAUGCUCGUGGCGCAGCGGAUGCUGCGCGCCUUCAGCCCGCGAUUCGACUCACUGGCCGGCGUGGGCGGCACCACGUCCGCUCGCAUGGCCGGUCAUCUGCUGAUGGCCGAGGAGGCGGGGGUGGCAACUGCAAUUGCUGCACUCGUGAGGGUUCAGGAUUUUCCUGAACCCGCGACGCGGGCUGCGCAUCGUGCGACCGCGUGUGCGCCGCUGGGGCCUCACGCAGGUCGAUCCGAGGAUCACUAGCCCGCUUGGGGGGCAUGGUGGUCGGCUCUAUCGUUGAGGAGGACGAGGCCAAUGUUGGUGUAGACGCUGCCGCCGGCAGUCACCGGCAAGCUCUCCUCACGCGCCCCCUACCUGGCGCGCCAGAUGUCGUCGCACGGGGCUCCGACACCAGGGAUGCGCGGGCACCCCUUUAUAGGUUCGGCAGUGGGCAACGGUGAUCGCUCCGGCGAUCACCGGCAGGACCAAUGCGAGGCGUAGGAAUACACCAUGAACGCUACCAAGGGCACAUGCACACACUUUUUACCCCGGUUCGGGCCACCUUGUGGUGUAAAACCCUACGUCCUGCUUGUCUGAGCUUGUAUCACUGUAAAAUCGGCUGUUUACAGGUUGCCGGGGAAGGGUCCCCGGGUGCUCUCUUUUUGGCUAAAUGUUCCUUUCUACUUCGGGCUACUCCCAGUGUUGCGCUACGAGUUGGCUCUGUAAACGAACCAACGAACGAACUGAAUGCCAGAAAAACGAAGCAAAAGCUGAACCCUUUGACCGUAGGCGAGGGUCCUCCUUUUGUAGCCAAGGGGAUACCACAUGUGUCACGGUGCAUGGUUUACAAGUGGCGAGAAAGGAGCUUAGGUAGCUCCCCCUCGGCGCGCUGGCAUGCAUGCAUGAGCGCCAACCCCGCUGCUAGGGGUCUAGAGCCUAACAAAUAGGACUGGACAGCCACUGUUCGCCCGACUACGGAUAACGCUCCUUCUGUCGGCUCACUAAAUGCAUAGCACGCUUCACUCCUCGCCCUCGUGGAACUGUUCAUUGGGCGCAUGGCACGCGCCCACGUGGCCUCGCUGCUCCGCUCGCUCGGCCCCGCCCUCACAGCAGGAACCUGCGCCCGGGAAACCCUCCUCCCGGCAAGUGACUUCCCGGGAGGCGCCCAGGCAGGAGUAUUCCCUAAAGCCCCGCUAGCCCUUCUGGGCUGGUAGCUUGCCGGGCAGCCUGUACGUUGCUGCCCGGGGUGUGAUCCUCCCGGGAACUCAGCGAUGCAACCCACGCGUCGUGCAACGGUGGUACCUCGGGUGCCACUGGUGCAACAGUUCUAUUGGCCUACCAUGGUGCAAGACGCAAUCAUCAUAUUGCGGAAAUGCGAAGUUUGCCAGAAUAUGGCUAAGUCAAACCAUGCGCCCGUGGCUUCCCUGAAGAAUAUCCCGAUAACAUCGCCAUUUGCAUGCUGGGGAAUGGACCUUCUCGGGCCUUUCCCCGCAUGCAAUGGGGGCUGCAAGUACCUCGUGGUGACGAUUGAUUACUUCUCCAGAUGGAUAGAACCAGCGCCGCUUGGCAAGAUCACGUCACAGGCCGUUCAGAAUUUUUUCUAGGAAAACAUCAUAUGCCGAUAUGGCGUCCCACGAGAGCUAACCGUGGACAACGGCAAACAGUUCGACUGUGCGGAAUUCAUCAAAUCCUGUGAAUGCCUUGAGAUCAAGCUGCACUUCGCAUCCGUAGCCUACCCCAAGAGCAACGGUGCAUGCGAAAGGGCAAAUGGACUAAUCCUCCAAGGACUCCAUCGAAGGAUAGAGCACACGGUUAGCAAAGCAAGAGGAGCAUGGGGAGAUGAACUCGCUAGCGUGGUUUGGGGCAUACGCACAUCCAUUAGCCGUUCCACGGGCCGAACACCAUUCUCUUUGGUGUAUGGAGUCGAAGCAGUUCUUCCCGCCGAGGUCGAGUUCCGCUCACGUCGGGUCGAAAGGCUCCAAGAAGCCACCCCAAUUGCCUUCAUCGAAAAUGAAGAGCAUCACAAGACGACCAUCGAUCUUGUGGAAGAAGCUCGUGACAAAGCCCUCAUGAGGCACGCCGUCUACGACCAAAGCGCCGCACGCUUGUACAACACAAGGGUGAGGGAACGAGCCUUCUCCCAAGGAGAUCUCAUGCUGAAAAAGAACGUCGACCCAAAGCUCCAGCGCAAACUCGACCCUACAUGGGAAGGACCAUACCGCAUCGCCGUAGUAUUGGGAAAUGAUGCAUACCACCUCGAGAAUAUGGAAGGACAAAACCUUGUCCAUGCCUGGAAUGGCGACAAGCUUCGGCAUUUCUACGCCUAAGGAGGAACUUCAAGGGCAAUUCUUGCCGCUCCCAAAAGAAGACUAUCAGCGCCCAACCGGCCUUUUCCCUACGAAACUUCGAGGGAUCGUAAUCGCCAAUGAGGCCACGUCUACAUAAGGCUUGUAAGUGCCCAUCGGGGCAUACCUUAAGACAGGGAAGUAAGGAUCAAUAAAGUAAGUUCUUGAGGAAAAUUUAAGAGUGACACGAGACACUCACAUGACUCAUCGUCGUAACAAAGCCGCUACCCCUGUGCCGCUCACCGAGGAACACGGAAAGGCCUCCGUUGGCCCGAGCAUCCUCUAAAAAUGUCCACAGACAUAGGUUGCUACUAGCGACUCGUUCCUUGGUGGAUCCUAGCGUGCCUCAAGGCCAUCCACCAAGUAGAACCAAGUCCCCCGAGGGCCGGAAGUUCCUUAAAACGCAUUUAAGGGGAACCGUAAAUAAGCGAGUUAUGCAUAAGCUUACUUACCUCGGAGAACCAUGCUACCCGUAUGCGAGACGUCGCGCACGGGUCUGCAUGAUAGUAAUCGGGUUAAGGCUCCAUAAUAAUCGUGGGAAAGCAUAGCUUCUUAAAGUCCGAGGAGGGAAAAUUCCAUAUGAAAUUUCCCGAACGGCAUGUCGAAAUGUCCGGAUCACUACCGCCAUAUCGAUAGCGACCCUCACAAGGGUACUAGGACCCAUGGCUCGUAACCAUGGCCUAAGGCGCCGAAGCCGAGUCGUAUCCAAACGGCGACAUCAAUUGAUAACACAAAAGUGUAAUCAUAGCGAACGAUCGCGAGCUGUAUAAACUGAGGAAAUAUAGUACUUCACAAGAAGGAAAUAUAGUACUCCAAGAAAGACAUGUUGAGCCAAGUUAACAUUUCCGAUAAUGUCGACUACGUGGUGAAACAUGAGAAAUACAUGCUGAGCUAAGUUAACAUUUCCGAUAAUGUUGACUACAUAAUGAAGCAUGAAUCACAACAAAAAAGCUCCCUAACAACCUGUACGACCAAAAGCCUAAACAUGCUAGCCAUGAAGCUAAGUCAAGUGGAGAUAUGCAACAUCGCAUAAGUAAACUGCUGAGGUACAUCACCACCUCCGAGGGCGACGAGGCUCAUACCUCACCGUCACCCUCCUGAAGUGCGGGCUCGAGGCAACGCACGAAGCGUCGAGCCUGAGCGCGAAGAGGAGCACCCUGGUCCGCCAGAAACUUCUUCGCCCCUUGAGACAUCUCACCCUCAAGUCUGCUCAUCCCGGCACUGCCUCCAGGACUGCCGCACCCGCCGAUGAAACAAGUCGAGCACCCGUAUUCAGGAGGCACUUCUUCACGGUAGGCUCAAUGAGCUCCACCUGGGAAGUAAGCACCCUGCUCGCCUCAUCCACCGUACGACACGGAGGAAGAUCCGGCUUGGAAACACUCCUCAAGAAAAUCAUCGUCUCCCGAAUCUCGGUGGCCUGAGCAAGUAAAAGCGAGAUCAGGUCGGGACGGCGAUCCGGAGGAGGGCGACCACGAGGAGCAAGCAUCGGGCCAUCACCCGCUGCUGCUAACUCCACCUUGAGGGAAGCAGCCUCCGCACGGGCAUGCUCCCUAUCAAGGUUGGCCACCACCAAGUCCUCCUCAACUCGACGGGUCCUCGCGAUCUCGUCCUUCUAGCCGGCCUGGCUACAACGGCGAGCUCUGCCAAAACGUGGGAAAGCUCAGCCUCCACGGCCUCAUGCCGCACCCUCUCUGAAGCCAACUCACUCAAGGCAAGGGUAGACUUGGACAUCUCCACGUCCAAAGCAGCAGAAAGCGCCCCCACCUGAGUCUUGAGGGCAGGAAGGGCACCCACGGCCUCGACCAAACCCCUCACCUACGAGGAAGGUGGAGUUAGCACAAAGAAAACCCGAAGGACCAAGGGAGACAUGUCACGGACGCUCACCAGCUCCAGUGUCACGAGAGGAUCUCUCGCUCCAUCCUCGGUCAUCGGAAGUGCUCCGUCCGUCACUUGAGUCGGGGGCUCGCCCUCAGGAACCCCGGGCUCCGCGACUCUCGCACCUAAAACAAACCAAGGAAAUCAUCAGGGGCGGGCCUACGGCCCGUGCUACCCGGGCUGUAGCACGGGUCUAGCCCAAGUGAAGAACACAGCAGACAUGAUAAGCCCAGCCUGGCAGCCCCCCCAAGGCCCAGCCGUCCGUGCAGCCCAGUAGGCCGAAGUGACCGCUUGGUGUCUCCCUUGCUCGACGCGUAUCGAUCAAUCCUGGCUCUCGCCGUUCCGCUAUGUUGGUCACCAAAAAUCCUACUGUAGCUCGCUCGUUAGGUUUGGGAAAAAAAAUCUCCACACCCAAAUAGAUACUUUUGGUUUGCUGAUUCAUUUCAAAACAUCUUUGAUUGGUAUUUAUCUAAGAAAAAAGGUACUCCCUUCGUUUCAUAAUUUUUGUCUCAAAAUUGCCCAAAAAAUUGAUGUAUCUAUUUCUAAAAAGCGUCUAGAUACAUGUAAUAUUCGACAAGAAUUGUGGAACGGUGGGUUUAUUUAUCUAAGAAAAAUGUAUUUUUGUAUGUCUUUAGACUUUUUUGGAGACUAAUGGUGUUUGGGCCGAUGAGUUCAUGCUUUUGCUACCGUAAAUUUCAUUGUCAUCUAACAAAAAUUUAGUUUGUCAUAAGUUAGCCCCCUCCUUCAUUCAUUCCCGGGUCCGCCACUGGAAAUCAUGUCAAAAUCUUCAGAAAAAGAACGUCAUGACCAAAGAAAAGGGCACUCACCCGAGGUAGGAGCAUCCUCCUCGGGACGCUCGUGACCAAUGGAGAACACCUGGAUGCCCGCACUACUAGCUCCGGUCGACAACUCCACCACUGAGUCGCUCCGAAGCCGAAGCCCCGUCUCGCGAGUGAAAGCCUCAACCUCGUGGCUUGAAGGAGGAAGAACUUGCUCAAGUACAAUCUUCUCCUUCAUGUGCAGAUCCAAGGUCACUCUCAGGGGGGACCUUGACUCACCCACGACGGGAUCCGCCGAAUCCGCCAGGGCGUAGUCAAGAGAAGGAGAAUGAGUCGGGGGAGCUUUCCUCUUGCAUCCACUCGACAGACGAGGCACCUUGGGGACCGGCAUGACAGGCACCGCCAGGCCCAACACCGCCAUUCCCGCCUUCACCUUCCCGCAAGAGUCCCGCAACUUGGACCCCACCACCAACAUUGACGGUGUCGCCAAGCGGGAGUAGCGAUCGCCCACUCAGAGAAGGCGACCAAGCUUCGGGUCCUGUCGCAUCGGCACCAUCUUCCCGAAGCACUUCGCGAUGAUGUUGUGGCAUCCCCCACUGCUGAUCUUGGUCUCAUAGUCGUGAUGCUCCGGCCCGCCAUACGGACCUAUCAGCUGCGCGGCCCACAACGCCGCCCUCUCCUCGGAAAAUGUCGCUGAAAAAAGACAAGCCAAAAUUGUUAAGUAUAUCCGCAAGGAAAAAACAAUUGAAGCACAAAGGGAAGAGGAGUGGCACUCACGAGCGGUGACAAGCUAUGGAGAACAGAAAGAUCGAGGGAUCCCAAUCUCGGACCUCGGACGACUCCUCAUCAUAAAGCGCCCCGCCAUCACCAUCUCCUCCAUGAGGUCAUGAAAGCUCCUCUCGGCGGACACCUCCUUGAUCUUGGCCACCUUCCAGAGGUUGGCUGACCGAGGCUCCUCGAGGUGAGGCACCUCCCUAAGGCCUCCUGCCCCAGAGUGCCGAGGGAGAUCACCCAUGUGCCGAAGACGGGUCUUCGAGGCCCGAAGGAAAAACCACCGGGACUCCCACGUGACGAACAACUUCUCCGUGCUCUUCCCCGGCAUGAGCAGGAAGUCGUCCCCAAAGCCGGAACGAAGCAUCAGGAUCACCGAACCAAAGGCGCUCAGAGCAAAGCCGUCCGGAGUGAGCAACUCCAUCACCUCCCGGUGAAGUAGAACAGCAGAAGCUUCAUCAAAGGCUCCUGGUGAAGAGCCGUCUCACACAGCCACCUGAAAACGUUCAACCUCACGAUCAUUGACGAGUAAAGCUGGGCCAACUCGAUGCCGUACGUCUCCAGGAACUCCAACAAGAAGGGGUGAACGGGCACACACAAGCCGGUGUGAAACCAAGCCGAGAAUGCCACGAUGCAUCCCGGACGCCGCCGCUGGUCGAGCCUAACCUCCUCUCCAUCGAGCAGGAUACCGUCCCCCUUGGGGAAGUAUCCUGCUUCCUCUAGCUAGGCGAGAUCCUCGGGGCUCAUCGAAGAAGGAAGAAGGUGGUCAUGUGCCCAACCUCCGCCGUACACCGGCGCAGUCGGAACAGGGGGAGGACCGCCACAAGGGCGGAAGGAGACCUUCUUCUUCCGCGACGGUCGGUUCGCCGCAAGCUGCGCCAUGAACCCCUUGGAAGACCCUCACGAUGGCUCACCGGCCGGACGCUCGACAUCGAGUCCCGCCAUCUCACCUGCAAAAAGAUCCGCCAAGAAUUAGCAAAGUGCGGAAAAAUUCCGAAAGGAGUCGACCAAAAAAAGGAGGAGCCAAGCUCGUCGGGCCGAGACGCCCAGCCACAUCGCCAAAGCAAAAAAAAAGGAGCCGAGCCCCUCAGGCCACCCGGCCUUGUCGUCGCACGGGGCUCCGACACCGGGGGCGUGCGGUCACGCCCCUUUUUUAGGUUCGGCAGGGGCGUCGGGGAUCGCUCCAGCGAUCGCCGGCAUGGCCGAUGGGCCUACGCAACCUGCAAAGUAAUGUACACCGGAUGCAUGCAAGCUAAGAACACAUGCACACACGUUUUUACCCAGGUUUGGGCCACCCGGAGGUGUAAAACCCUACGUCCUGCCUGCCUGAACUGGUAUUGACUAUAGAUCAAGUGUUUACAAGUUAACGGGGGGAGGGUCCCCGGGCGUUCUCUUUCUGGCUAUGUGCUCUUCACUGCUUUAGGGUACUGCUAAUGGCUAAGUGUGAGUCCAUUUAUCCGUCAGAUUGUGGAACCGUGGAACCCCUUGACCGCCGGCGGGGGUCCUCCUUUUAUACUGAACGGGAUACCACAGGUGCCGCGGCACAUGCAUUACAAGUGUCGAUCAGGGAGACAUGCAACUCCCCCUCGGUGAGCUGGUGGCGUGCAUGGGUGACAACCCGCUGCUAGGGGUCUAAGACCCUAGAGGUAGGAUUGGACAUCCACUUUUCACCUGAUUUGGACGGGUAACACCCCUCCUGUCGGCUCAUUUAAUGCGCCGUGCGCCUCACUCCUCACCCUAGUGAGACUGCGCACCCGACGCCCGUCACACGCCCGCGUGGCGCUGUUGCUCUGUCCGCUGAGCCCCACCUUUGUGGCAGGACCUGCGCCCGGGAACUCCUCCUCCCGGCAAGUCACUCCCCGGGAAGCGCCCAGGCCAAACACACCCGGGAACCCCCCUCCCGGGAUGCGGCUUCCCGGGAGGUGUCCAGGCGGGAAUAUUUCCCGAAGCCCCACUAGCCCUUCCUGGCUGGUAGCUUGCCGGGUUGCUCGUGGCUGCUGCCCGGGACGAGAUCCUCCCGGGAACUCAGAGACGGGGCCCACGUGUCGCGCAACGGUGGUACUCCUGGUGCCACGGGUGCGACAGUAGGCCCCGGGCGUGGGCCGGCAUCACCUGUUCCCGGACGAGCCUUCCCUAGGUCAGUUGCCGGGCUACGCCCACAACCGACGCGUGGGCCCUGAUUCACCUCGGGCCUGCGUCCCUUCGUUGCCCUAAUACCACGCCGUUACAGACGGAGUAAUAGGCGCGUGAUUUCCACCCUAACCUCCCCCUUAAACAGGGAAGUUAAGGCCACUCCGCGCAUUACUCCUUUUGAUUAGGAGUUAUCCCCGCGCACCCGUAGGGUACGGAACCGGCCGUUACCAAACGGCCGGGUGUUAUAAAGAUUUUACCACUGCCCAAAAGGGGAAAGCACUCUAUUCCCCACGGCCUUUGUCUUCACCCUCCUUUCGCACCUCGCAUCCAAUUGUUCUUGCUAGCUUCCACCUUCGUCCCCCAUGGCGCCCCCCACCACCAGGAAGGGAAAAGAGGUGCAGGUCUCAAAGAGAGCGGCAGCCAGCAAGAGCGAGGCGGCAACCAAGGCAGCCGCCGUCAAAGACCAGAAGAAGCAGGAGAUGCGGGCCACGCUCGCCUUCUACCGGCCUGGCUACAACGGCGAGGCGCUGGACUACAUCCGACAUGCUGUCGCCUCCAAGUUCAACGAGCACGGGAAGACCCUGAUCUUCCCAGCGGACGCCGAGCACCAGGACAAGGACUUCUGGGUGUUCAGGCGCUUCAUCCUCACCGGGCUGGUGCCGCCGUUCUCGCCCCCCACGCACUGAUGGAGUCGUACCAGCUGCAGGUGGCACAGCUCCACCCCACAUUGCUGUUCCUCCUCGCUACCUUUCAAUUCCUCUGUGAAGCGUUCAUGGGGAUGAUGCCGUCGGUGGCGCUCUUCCGCCACUAUUUCUACCCCCGGAUUGACAACACGAAAGCGAUGUCGUCGGGGGUGGUAUUUCGCGCCCGCGACCAGAUGAAGUCCGAGUUCAUCGUCCGGUCGGGAAAGAAGAUUGAGAAGGAGUGGCGGGGUGACUGGUGCUGGGUCAGAGUGGAAGACCCCCAAGAGUUCAUCUUCUCGCCCACAGAGUUGCCGCAACCCCACAGCGGCAGGCAAGACAGGUAUCACCGCGACGCCGAUCUCCUCCCCAUCAUGGAGAAGAUCAAGGCGCUGCGGCUAGCGGGGCUCACCGACGUGGACGUGGCGCGUACCUUCGCCAACCGGCGUAUUGCGCCGCUCCAACUACGCUCCCGGCCCACGUGGAUGUACACGGGUCCCGGGGAUAGAACACGCCUCCACCAGGACGGCAUGGAUUUGGAAACCCUCAAGACGUGGGUGAGGGGAAUCUCCGGCGAAACCUUCGAAUCAACGAGGUUCCCGCCGGGGGUCUUCUCCCUCCAUGCCGGUGUUGCGGCGCUCAACAACAUCGUCACCGCCUUCCCGCCCUGCAACGAGUGGGGGUUGAUGGAUGAUAGCCCCACUCGGGCCCUGCACGCUCCCCUACCAGCACCUCGCGGGAAGCAGGUGCUCGAGGAGAGUGGGGGCGAAUCCAAGACCAGCUGGCCCUCCCUCCAGUCGCUGGACGAAGAGGUGGGCCAGCCGGCGGCGUCCCAGGAAGUCAUCCCAGUGGACAACGAUGACGACGACAGUGACGACGCGCCCUGAUCGUGCGAAGAUCAAGGGCGUACGCUGCGGCUGCGGCCAUCUCCUCGGGUGCCACGGCGGCAUCUUCCCUAGCGGCGAUAUCCGCCCUGGCAACGGCCGCCCGCCGGUACCUCGGCCGCGACCACGUCCGCAGGGGCCGCCGGAGCCUCGGGGCGGCGACAUCCGCCCCAGUGGCGGCUGCCAGCGUCGCGGCGGCAGCUGCUCCGGUGGCGUCUGCUGAUGCCCCGUCGGGGACCAUCCGCGAUCCGGCAAUGGAUUCAGCAGCAACAGCCGCCGGGGAUGCGCCGGCCGCCUCCCUGGGGUCGGCCCCUGACGCCGUGGCAGCCCCGCGGGCCCCUACGGCGCCGCCCGCUCGGGGGGUCUUCCGGGGCUUCGCGCUCCGGCGCAACCCCCCGAGGACCAACUCGUCGGCGAGCACCAGCAAGAGGGGGAGGAGUGACUCCCCGCCCGCUACGCCGAGCAAGAGGGCGAGCGCGGACGCCGGCGGCGCCGCUGACCCGACCAUCACAGGGGCUAGUGGCGCUGUCAUCGCGCCCGCCGACAACCCAGCUCCAACGGGGGCGGGGCCUGUGACUGGUACGGCUCCUUCGCUCCUCCUCUGCUGCAUUUUUUAGUUGUUAGUUAACCAUACAAACAUACCUUCUUUUUCAGCAAGCAGCAGCUCACCCGUGGCAGGCCUCUCGGAAGCUCCCGCCGGCACGAGUGAGGCGGCGGAAGCCCGCCUCGCAAGUCCACCUGCCCUGCAAGGUAAUCGCUCUGGCUACCCUUGUCCGCUCUCGAUAACUCUUUUACUUGUCCAUCGUCACAUUCUUUGUUGCUGCAGGCCCAAACGCGCCCGUAUCGAGAGCGGACGCAAACAAGGUUGAUCUCGACUCCGAUGUCGAGAUCACGGGGGCGGUAGAGGAUCCGGCGUCAGCUCCCGCACCAGGCCCUGUCGCACCGGCGACAGCGGCAGUGGUGGCCACCGUCACCACCGAGACGGGGCUUGGCGACGCGCCAGGAGUUGCGGAUGCAGCUGGCGCGGACUCACCUGCCACCCAGCAGGGAAUGGCCUCUGCCAAGGGCAAGGAGGCUUCUCCAGCCCCGGGGUCCCCGGGCGUGGGUGAAGGGGGAGCCGUGGAGAGGGAACGGCAAGAGCUCUCCCGGCUGCGCGAGGAGACGCGCCUCGCCAGGGAGAAGGUGCGUCUAGCCCGGCAAGCCCUGGAGGACGCCGAGGAACCGGUCGUCCCGGAGGCCGAACUCCACCAGCAGCUGGAGGUCCAGAGCACGAAGCUUCAGGGAGAGCUGGACUCGCUGGCGGCAACCCUCGAGGCGACCAAGAAGGAGCACGCCGGGGUGCUCGCGGCGGCACAGGCCCGGCUAGACGAGAAGAGCGACCUGAUCGCCAGCUACUGCGGCGAGAUUCAAGGCCUUCGCGUCAAGCUGGAGGUGCAGGUCAAGGCCACCGAGGACACGGUGGGAGCUGCGGCCUGGAACGAGAUCCAGCUUGGCUCCGUCAAGGACAGAGCGGUUAGGCUUGAGACCGAACUGGCCGCUAUUCGGGAGGAGCUCGCCAAGGCCGGCAACUACAUUGCGGUCAAGACCGUGGAGCUUGCGGCACUGGAAGACAACCUCCGCAAGGCCAAGAAGGCCAUGCACAACGCUUCGCUCCCUCACGGCACGCUGAUCAGGCAGCGGCAAUUAGAAACCGAGAAGCUGGUGAAGAUCGCCCAGGCAUUGCGCGACUUGUUGCCCCGAUUCGAGCUGCAGGCCGCGACGGUGGACGGCUCGGACGUCUCCACCUUGAUCCCUUCUUCUCCCACCUGGUGGGGAAGCUUGGGGCUCUCGAUGUCUGGAUCGCCCAGUACGGUGCCAACGAAGUCGCCAACUGCGCCCCGGAGGUUGCCGGGACAAUCCUCCUGAGGACACACCUCCGGGACCCGGGGUUUCCCUUCGAGUCCCUGCUGGACGCCUGGUCGGACAGCGAGGACGAGCCCACGCACACCCAAGCGGUGCGCGGGUUCGUCGACGAGGUGGUCGAGCGGAUAUAGCGGAAGCCGGACCCCGAGCCGAAGAUGCCGGCAACUAGUUGCCGCAGCCCCUAGCCGUCCUUGCUGCUUUCCGAUGUAUCUCCUUUUGCUUGCUUUUUCCUCCAAGUGUGGCGUUUGGCGCCGUUGGAACAAUUAUUUUGUAAUUAGCUUAUGUAAUCGCUCAACACUUACUUAAUCAAGCUCUUUAAUUCGCUCAAUUCUUGUUCCUUGUUCCCGGUGCUGCCUCGCGGGGCGACUCCCCUAGCCUUUGCGUGUUUUGCCUUGUGUUACCGGGGACUCACGCGCCUCACCCUUGACCAGACCAGGGACCCGGGACGGACCCGUAGUGCCGACCUGGGGUCAAGUGGUAGCGGGGAGCCACUCCACUUGCGGGGUAACUACUCCAAGCCGUGCCCUUCCGGGACGGACCCGGGAAGCCACACGGGCAGCGCACUCCCCCCGCAAGCAUCCUUCUAACACUCCAGCUACGCGCAAGGUUCGGGGCCACACCUGGCGAGACAGCGUUCAAUUACGUUCAAUUCUUAGUGGGUUCGUCAUUUAGGUGUCAGUACUUAGCUUUUCGUUCAGUCUUGCGUCCGAAGCGUUCACUGGAGGCGCACUCCUAGCUCGUUAUCCCUGCAAAGUGCCUGACAAAGGGAAGUAGCAGAGACGCCGCGGCAACCCUCGCCCUUCUCCGAGGGGUGCAGCAGGGACACCAUGACUUCCUCGGCACCACCGCUGACCGCGGGCGACGAGGACGUCACGGCGUCCCCACAGCGGCCCUCGCUGCUUGGAACAAACCCGUCUGGGGGCUGCAGAAGGGACAUCGUGGCUUCCUCGCCGCCACCGCCGAAAGCGGGCGGCAAGGAUGCCACAAUGUUCCCGCAGCAGCCCUCGCUGCCUGAGAGCAAAACUGCUCGAGGGCCGUGGCAGGGACGCGGUGAUGGGCCGGAACGGACGGCGAACGCCGGCACCGGCGCCAUCACAGCGUCCUCGCAACGACCUGCGCCUAUAGAGGGGCUCUCUUAGGGGAAUACGGCAGGGACACUAUGAUGGUGCACCCGUUGGUAGGAGGCACCGAUGGCAUGCACCACCAUAGUGUCUCCGCGGCAGCCCUUGCUCCUUGCGGAGGUGUCCUCUGGAGGGAUGCGGCAGGGGCACUGCGGUAGUGCACCCGUCGGCGCCGGGCGCCGAUGGAAUGCACCACCACAGUGCCUCCGCGGCAGCCCUCUCCCAGGAGCCGCUCACUUGAGGAGGCACGGCAAGGGCACGGUGGCAGUGCACCCGUCGACGCGGGGCGCUGAUGGCAUGCACCACCACCGUGUCUCUGCGACGCCCCUCGGAGCGGGCUCGAUGGAACGAUGCGGCAAGGGCGUGAUGGCAGUGCACCCGUCGGCGCUAGGCACUGAUGGUAUGCACCCCCAUCGUGCCUCCACGGCACCGCCCGCCUUAACAGCCCCUUUCUCAGCUUCGCUCUGAGCCGUUCCAUGGCUGGGGCGCGCCUUUUAUAGGCGCGGGGGAGGAGCUUGCCACCGCGCGCGACGGAUCAGCGCAGCACCCGUGGCAUCCCUUCCUUUGAAAUGUGGUACAGUCUUCGCCACCCUGCAUGCCAAGUUGCUGUGACACACGUGGCGGCGCCCUCCCGAGUCAGGAGCCUCGGAGUGCGGCGAGUCCCUCAUGGUGCGGUCGUUCCGCACCUCAAGGCGCUGCUGCAUGCGGCGACCCGUGGGCAGCCCACGAGUAAUACAGUGCGCAAGAUUCCACUCUUUUCUGCAGAUUAGAUUCUUGCCAGGCCCGAGGUGCUGCAAUUUUUUUUCGAAAUUCACGAAAACACGCGAAAACACAGAAAGCAACACGAGUGAUCUCCUGCCUCCCAGCCCCCGGGCACGGAAGGGUUGAUGCCAAACUUGGAUGCGAGCAUUCUAUUUCCCAGCCGGGGUGCAUGUUGCGCGGAGCCUAGCAACUGCGUGUCCCGUGAUGCACAUUGCGGGUAACCCGGCAACUGCAUGUCCCAUGAUGCACGUCGUGGUUAACCCAGCGACUGCAUGCCCCGUGGCGGAGUGACCCGACAACGGGGUUUUCGCUUUCGAGGCUCCAGCAGCCCCCUGCUCACAACCAAGUAUGGAAAGACACUUUCGUGCACCAAAAGCAGGAGACUGAAGAAGGGGGAAACACACAAAUAAGCAAGGCAACUUUAAAGUUCAGGAACGAAACACUUAUCUUUAUUCACAAUAACUAGUGGUUUACACACGGGGGCUGCCCGGCUACGCUAGUUCGAGAGGUAUGCAUCAGCGGCAUCACCUGAGGGUCGGGCUCCGCCGCUUCACGGGUAGAACUUGCGCAAGUGCUCAAUAUUCCAACUAUUUGGCACUGGCAAGCCAUCUUCGGUUUCCAGCCGGAUAGCCCCCGGUCUGGUCACCUGCACUACCCGGAAGGGGCCAUCCCAUUUCAGAGUCAACUUGUUCCCGGCCUUCAUUCCUUGUAUCUGGCGCAGGACAAGGUCUCCGUUCUCGAGCCCCCGGGGACGGACUCGCUUGUCGUGGUAACGACGGAAUCCCUGCUGGUAGCGCGUGGCUCGCACAGCAGCCCGGCAUCGAAGCUCUUCGAUGAAGUUGAGAUCGUCCACCCUUUGCUCGUGUUGGCUGGUGUUGCCGUACGCGCGUACUCGGGGAGAUCCGUGCUUGAGCUCAAGGGGCAACACCGCUUCUGCCCCGUAGACAAGGGCGAAAGGAGUUUCGCCCAUUGCCCGACUAGGUGUGGUCCUGAUUGACCAUAGCACGGGCUGGAGUUCUUCAACCCAGUCUUUCCCGUGGCCCUUGAGCUUGUCAAAGGUUCUCGUCUUGAGCCCCUGCAGCACUUCUGCGUUGGCUCGCUCCGCUUGCCCGUUCCUCCUCGGAUGAGCAACGGACGCGAAGUGCAACUUGGUGCCCAUGCCCUCACAAUAGGCCUGAAACAUUGUGCUCGUGAACUGCAUGCCGUUGUCGAUGAUGAUGCCGUUAGGCACACCAAACCGGCACACAAUGCUUUUGAAGAACUUGAUCGCCGCCUGGGCGGUCACCUUCUGCACUGGUUCCACUUCUACCCACUUGGAGAACUUGUCGAUGGCCACAAACAAAUAUUCGUAACCACCAACCGCUCUCAGUAGCUUGCCGACGAUAUCGAGCCCCCAGACCGCGAACGGCCACGAGGAAGGGAUGACGUGUAGGGCCUGCGCCGACUGGUUGCUCUUCUUCGAGUGGAACUGGCACGCUUCGCACGUCUUCACCAGCCGCUCUGCGUCGGCCAGGGCCGUGGGCCAAUAGAAACCGUGCCGAAACGCCUUGCCGGCUAAGGCCCGGGAGGCCACAUGGUGUGAACAUGUGCCUCGGUGUAUCUCCUCCAGCAGCGCGCGGCCUUCGUCUUGCGGCACGCAGAUGAGCUUGACCCCGUUUGCUCGCCUGCGGUAGAGGUUCCCAUCCACCACAGUGCACAUUUUGGCUUGCCGCACUACUCGCUCCGCGGCAACGUCAUCUUCCAGGAGAGCCUCCCCUUUCAAGUAACGGGCGAUUUCCACCGCCCAGGGAGGGAUCUCCCUGCCAACGCAUGCCGCUAUAUCAGCGGCAUGGACCCCUGAUGUUGCGGGGGUUCCUUCGGUUGCCGGAGGGGCGUCCCCGGCAGCCGGCUCGGGGGCGACUGAAGGAGCCGCUUGCUUCUGGCAGAACACCCCUGCCGGAGGCUUCCGGCGCUCUGCUGCCAUCUUGGCCAGCUCGUCAGCAGUGAAGUUAUCCUUCCGCUUGACGUGCUCGAAUCGCAAACCUUUAAACUUACGUUCUAGCUUGCGGACUUCCUCCACGUGCGGUGCCAUCUGCGGGCAGUCGUAGUCCUUGUUCCCCUGGUUGAUCACGAGCUGGGAGUCCCCGCGAAUAACUAGGCGCUUGAUGUCGAGGGCGAUCGCCGCCCGUAACCCGGUGAGCAAGUCCUCGUACCGCCGUAUUAUUGGUGGAGUUCGGGAAAUUGAGCUGGACAGCGAACCUCAACUGGUCCCAUGUCGGUGACUCGAUGACGACCCCGGCGCCAGCUCCUUGGAGACUGAACGCGCCGUCGAAGUAGAGGACCCAGUGGUCCUCGUCCAGCUUGCCGGGCAGGCUGGUCUCCGGCUCAUUCUCUUCCACGCUCGUCGACGUCCAUUCCGCGACGAAGUCCGCCAAGGCUGUACUCUUGAUGCUCUUGGAGUUGGUGAAGUGGAGGUCCAACUCCGACAGCUCCAUCCUCCAUUCGGCCAACCUCCCGGUGGCUUCACUGUUGGUGAGGGCUCGCUCAAGGCACCACCGUGACGCGGUGCGCCUGAAAGUAGUGGCGCGGCUUGCGGGACGCAAGGAGAAUCCCCAAGAGGAGCUUCUGUACUUGCGGGUACCUUGUUCGCGCAUCGCGCAGCACCGUGCUGACGAAGUACGCCGGGUGCUGCACUAAUCGCUUCCGCGGUGCGGAAGCUGCCGGCUCGGGGGUGGUCCCUGGGCCCGAGGCGGUUGCUGGGGGCCGCUCAGCCCCCUGCCCCGCAGCCCCCCGGCUCGGAAGGGAUCCUUGGGGUAUGCACGAUUAAGAUUAGUAAAAUCUACACACAUGCGACGCUUGUUCCCUGCUUUAGGUACUACUACAGGGUUAGACAACCAAGUGGCGUACAGAAGUUCCCUGAUAGCCCCAGCAGCCUUGAGCUUGUCCACCUCCUACUUGAUGAAAUCUUUACGCUCUUGUGCUUGCCGCCGAAUCUUCUGCUUGACGGGGCGCGCGUCCGGGCGCACCGCGAGCCGAUGCUCAAUCACCUCCCUAGGAACUCCGGGAAGAUCUGAUGGUUCCCAAACGAACACGUCGGCAUUCUCCCGGAGGAAAGUGAUGAGGGCACUUUCCUAUUCGGCAGCGAGGUUCGCACCGACGAUGACGGUGCGUUCCUUGUUGCCGGCUUGGAGGGGCAGCUUCUUUACCUUGGCGGCCUCCUCCCGGAGCUUCUGCCCCUUGCCGGGGCGCGAGCUCGAGCCUGCGCUUCCCCCGGCAAGCUCUUGAUCGGCUUCUUCGUUGCCAGGGCAUCGCCCGGCGAGCUGUCGUCUCCGGCAGCGUCUUCAUCACCGGCGUCAGCCGUGGCGGCGGCCCUGACAACCUCGCCAACGCACCAGGCCGCGUCCUUGAGGUCGCAUCUGAUUGAGAGAACUCCAUAUACGGACGGCAUCUUCAUCACGCCAUAAGCACAAUGCGUAGCCGCCAUGAACUUGAUCAGCGCUGGCCGACCAAGGAUCCCGUUGUAGGGCAACGGGGUGUGUGCCACGUCGAACACUAUGUGUUCGGUCCUGAACGUUUCCCGAGACCCGAAGGUGACCGGCAACGUGAUGCGCCCCAGCGGGCGCAUGAUCCCAGGGUUCACCCCCCGGAACAGGUCGGUGGGCUCAGCUGCUCCAUUGGCAACUGGAGUUUCUCCACCAGCCUGGCGGACAGGAGGUUAAGCCCCGCUCCGUUGUCCACCAGUACCUUGGUCACCGUCAUAUUGCUGAUGAUUGGUGAGACGACGAAGGGUAUUACCCCUGAACCCAGCUGCCGCGCUGGGUGAUCGUCAACGCUAAAGGUGAUCGGCACAUGCCACCACCUCAGCGGCUGUUGCGGCUCCGCGUCCGGCAACAGCGCGCACACGUUGCGGGUGAGGCGCUUCACCGCGGCAUGGGAUGGGAGGGCAUAGGCUCCCCCAUGGAUGCAGGCGAUGCCGCGAGGCUCUUGGAAGCCCGGCUCGUCGCCACCAGUACAAUCGAACUCGCGCUGCUCCUCAGCGCGAGCCUUGUCGCGUCCCAGGGGAGGGAGCUCUCGUCCCGCGUGAGGCUGGCCGCGUCCCCCUUGGGGUUCGUCCCUGCCGGAACUGCCGCCGGCAGGCCUUGGCCCCGCUCUGGGGUCAUUCGGACAAUCUCGGGAGAGAUGCCCGAUGUCGCCGUAGUUGAAGCAGGCGCCAGCAGCACGGCGCUCCUCAUGGCGGUGCUCGCGCCGCUUCUUGAUCCCUUGCAGGAUGCAACAGUCCUGCGCGUCGUGGGUGGAGUUGUGGAUGGGGCAGCAGGACGGGUCACCCUGCUUGCCCCAGAACCACCACCCGGCGAGGUCUUCUUCGCAGGCCUCGUGGCAGGAGCCCCCGAGUCCGCAGCGAGAACCUGCUUCCCGCUGCGCUUGCGGGAACCCUUCUUCUGCGAACCAUCGCCUGGGCUCGUGGCAGCCAAGGCUGCCAGCUCGGGCGCUAGGCGCCCUUCCUCGGCCAUGGCGCACUUGUGCGCCAGGGCGUAUAGAUCCUGCGUCGUCCGGAUCCGAUGCGUGCUCAGCUUCUCGCGCAUCUUGGGGUCGCGGACGUUGAUGGCGAAGGUGUUGAUGAUGGCAGCUGCCUCCGCCUCUGGGAUAGAAUAGGAGAGAUUAGAGAAGCGGUUGACGACGCUCCGCAACGUCUCUCCUGGCUUCUGCACGAUGGUGUGCAGUUCCGCCAUGGUUCCCGGGCGCUUGUAGCCGCCCUAGAACGCGCUCACAAACUGCUCGUGCAGGUACGCCCAAGUGACGAUGAACCCGGCGGGCAGGUUGAGCAGGCAGGUUCUCGCUGAUCCUUUCAGGACCAUUGGGAACCAGUUGGUUCUGACCUUGUUGUCGGCGCCGAUGGCAUGCAUCCCCAACAUGUAGGUCAGGAAGAAAUCCUUGGGAUUCAUGGUCCUGUCGUACGUACCGAGCGUUGGUGCUCGGAACAUAUGGGGCCAUGUCACCCGCCGCAGCUCGCGCGUGAACGCGGUGUAGCCGUCCUCGAGGCCCAUGGGAGCGUCUUCCUGCUCCUGCGGGCGUUGGCGCUCUAUCUCGCGCCUGCGCCGGCGCUCUAAACGCUGGCAUAGAUCCUCUUGCUGGCGGGCAUCCCGCGUGAUGGUGGGUGAUGAGUCACCCCGCGUGACGGUGGGUGACGAGUCCGAGGACCCCUUCAGGCCCCCGUUUCCCUGGCCUCCCUGCGGAGGAGGGUUCUCCCCCUGCCGCGAGGCGCGGGGCGCGGAGACGCUCCGGGUUCUGCCUGUGGCCGGAGCCAACCGGGGCGCCCUCGCCUUGCGGCUGCUGAGCGGCUAGAGCGAGGAGCGCGUCCAACUCCUCGUCCCACAUCUCGUGCGCCGGCGUGCCUUGCUGCGGUUCAUACCGCACCAUGACCCACGCGGCGAUGAUGGCUUCCGCCGGGGUUCGUGCGGGAGGCAGCCGAUUUCCCGAACGGCUGCUGUCCGCUCUGGCCCCGGACGCCUCCGGGUGCGCGGGGUGUGAGCCCCCAGGCGUCACCCGCAACACGAUAUGCCCAUGGUGCCGCUGUUGCUGCUAAUCCUCGGCCCGCGACUCGACUCGCUGGCCAGUGCGGGCGGCACCAUGCCCGCUCGCGCGGCUGGCCCCGGCACUGGGGGCCGCCUGUCCCCUCAGCUGAUUGUCCGCAGAUGGCCGAGGAGGCGGGGGAGGCAGCUGUGAUUGCUGCACUCUCGAGGGCUUCGGGUUCUCCUGAGCCCCCGACGUGGGUCGCACGUCAUGCGACCGCGUGUGUGCCGCUGUGGCCUCACGCGAGUCUAUCCGAGGGUCACCAGCCCGCUUGGGAGGCAUGGUGGCCGGUCCCGUUGGCGAAGAAGACGAAGCCGACGUCGAUGCAAACACCGCUGCCGGUGGUCACCGGCGAGCUCUCCUCUAGCGACCCCUACCUGGCGCGCCAGAUGUCGUAGCACGGGGCUCCGACACCAGGGGCGUGCGGUCACGCCGAUCGUUCCGGCGAUCGCCGGCGUGGCCGAUGGGCCUACGCGACCUGCAAAGUAAUGUACACCGGAUGCAUGCAAGCUAAGAACACAUGCACACACGUUUUUACCCAGGUUCGGGCCACCCGAAGGUGUAAAACCCUACGUCCUACCUGUCUGAAUUGGUAUUGACUAUAGAUCAAGUGUUUACACGUUGCCGAGGGGAGGGUCCCCGGGCGUUCUCUUUCUGGCUAAGUGCUCUUCACUGCUUUAGGGUACUGCUAAUGGCCAAGGGUGAGUCCGUUUACCCGUCAGAUUGUGGAACCGUGGAACCCCUUGACCGCCGGCGGGAGUCCUCCUUUUAUACUGAAGAGGAUACCACAGGUGCCGCGGCGCAUGCAUUACAAGUGUCGAUCAGGGAGACCUGCAACUCCCCCUCGGUGAGCUGGUGGCGUGCAUGGGUGCCAACCUGCUGCUAGGGGUCUAAGACCCUAGAGGUAGGAUUGGACAUCCACUGUCACCUGAUUUGGACGGGGAAGGCCUCUCCUGUCGGCUCAUUUAAUGCGCCGUGUGCCUCACUCCUUGCCUUGGUGACACUGCGCAUCCGACGCCCGCCACGCGCCCGCGUGGCGCUGUUGCUCUGUCCGAUGGGCCCCACCUUUGUGGCGGGAGCCUGCGCCCGGGAACUCCUCCUCCCGUCAAGUCGCUCCCCGGGAAGCACCCAGGCCAAACACACCCCGGAACCCCCCUCCCGGGAAGCGGCUUCCCGGGAGCUGUCCAGCUCGAAGCCCCGCUAGCCCUUCCUGGCUGGUAGCUUGCCGGGCUGCUCAUGGCUGCUGCCUGGGACGAGAUCCUCCCGGGAACUCAAAGACGGGGCCCACACGUCGUGCAACGGUGGUACUCCGGGUGCCACUGGUGCGACAGGCCUGCACAACACAAAGAAAAACAGAAGAGAAGCCCCUCGGGCCGGAACUUCCGGCCCACGCAGCAGCAGCAAAAAAAGAGAGGGCCAAAGCUCCUCGGUCGCCGUCCCGUCUCCUCUCCGGCCCAUCUACACGCAAAUAAAAAAGAGGGGAAGGCAGGGCGGACCGCCGCCCGUGCUCGCCGGGUGUUCGACGAAACGCCCACACCCACGCCCGCACUCGUGCGCAUGCCGUUCCUGCACCGCGCCGUGCCCCCGUCCGCGCACGCGCUCGCGCACCUGCCGUGCCAGCGCCCCACUGUGCCCGUGUCCGCGCCAUGCCGCGAGCGCGCCCACGUCGUGCCAUGCUCGCACCGGAGUCGCGCCCUCGCCGCGCCGGGCCGCCCACGCGCCUACGCUGCGUCGUGCUCCUGCCUCGCCGCGCCCUCGCCCAUGCCGCGCCGUGUUCACGCCUCGCCAUGCCCAGGUUACACCAAGGCCGCGCCCGCGUCGCGCAGCGUCUCACCGCGCCGGGUCGCACAGAGGCCUCGCUCGCGUGAGACGUGCUCGCGUCCGCACCAACCCGUGCCCAUGCCCAUGCCAAGCCGCGACGCCCUGAAGGCAUUCGAAAGUAUGCCCGCAAGGCUCGCCGGAUCUAAAAAGCAUCAAAGCGAACGCCAUAAAGCUCCCCUCACCUUCACAAGAGCAAGAAAGGCGUGGCCGACAGCGAGGAUGUCCCGGAAGAACUUACAGGCACGACCGACCCCUCGCUCCAAGCGGCCUCGGGCGUGCUCCACGUCCCCACGAAGACUCGGUGAUGAGGAGCUUCCGCGCCCGCGCCUCGGCAACCAACACGAUCUCCGUCGAAGAAGGGAAGUAGCUAAUGCCCCUGCGGAGCUCCCUACUACACCAAGCCCUCGAAGGAAUGCCAGGCGCCGCCGAACGCGUCUUCGGCAUUGGGCAAGCCAAAGGAGUAUGGUGAGAAGCUCCACAGUGCCCAAGGUCUCCAUUUUAUAGGCCACCGGAGCCCCUAGGCAUCUGGGCCGGACCAAUGGUGCGGCGACACCUCGCCGUCCUUUUCACCAAGGAACAAGACAAGAAGAGGAAGAAAUGGGCAAGGGGAGCAUCCCCUUUUCCUAAAAGGAGGCCGGCCUGGUCGAAGAAGGGCGCCCCUCGCCCGGGCCCCACGUCCCGGCCGUGCCGGCGUCACCCCCGGUGACGAGCGUCACCUGCAAAGGCAAAAGCUUGGACCGAACGGUCCCUUCCCGUACGAAGGAGGAAGAUGACCUGUGGUUGUCCGAUCUAGGGUGCCUAGCCUCCCACGGUCGUCGGAUCUCCAUCACUUAAACCCGAACCAGUAUCGGGCCCAGCUGGGCCGUGGCCCAACAGUGGCCCAAGAAGCCGGCAUAAAAAAAAGGGAGGGGGGAACAGUGCGCCCGAAGGCGGCGCAGGUUCCGGCCCAGCUCACGUGGCCGGCUGGGUUCGAGAUUUUUGCAAAAAAGCCCGAGACUUUGGGAAAAUUGCCAAUAAAACCUCGGAAAAUUCGGGGAGGCCCGCAGGGCACCUCAUUUUUGCAAAAAAGUCCUCCGGGACACCGGAUUUCUCAUAGAGAGGUCCUAGGGUCCCGGUUUUUGCUAAAAUACCCCCCGAAAUUCGGUUUCUCGCAGGCAAAAUUGCCAUAGGCAUGGAAUUUCCCCGAAAUACCUCCAAGGCUCCUAUUCUCUGCAGGAAAACUGCCAAGUACCUAUGUUUCUCACAAGGAAGCUUGCCAGGGAAUUCAUCGAAGUCACCUUGACAAAUACAAGAACAAGGAAAAAGAAUCAAGAGUCCCGCAUCGAAGGUUGACCCGAUGGCAUUCUCAAUGCUUCCAGCUCAAGGGGGCUACUGUUGUAGUAAAAUAAAACCCUUAUAUGGGCCGAACCGUAAACCCUAUGUGGCGACGACUAAGUUAACAUUUCCCAAGCGUGAGUCAAGAUGCCCACGUGGCGUAGUACGUGGAAAAGGAAAACAAGUCAACAAGUCAAGUCUCUCAUGCCAUGAUCAAAGGAAGGAAUGAGUUAGAGUAUACAGUUCAUAUUCUUCCGUCAUUGAUAAACAGCUUGUUGGACAGUACUCAACACAAUUACCACAAAAUAUACAAACUCCGAAAUCAAUACUAUAAUUAAGCAAUUGUUUCCUUUUAACAGCCUUUUCAAAUCUCCAAUCCACAAUGGGGAGAUCUAUCGGACAUACGCGAACACAAACUUCACAAGCAAUACAUUUAUCAAAUUCAAAGUGGAUUCGUCCCCGAAAAAGCUCCGGUGUAAUUGAUUUUUCGUAAGGGUAGUGAAUCGUUAUAGGUAAACCAUUUGUGUGGGAUAAGGUAGUUAUGAAACUUUGACCAAUGUACCUUGUAGCACGUAUUGUUUGUUGGCCAUAACUCAUGAACCCAGUUACCAUAGGGAACAUAUUCUAAAUAUCUAUGAAAAAGGUAUGUUUCUUUCUCUUGUUUGAGAGAGCUUUUGUGUUGAAAAUAUUCUUACUGUUAUUCUAUUAUCUUAUUUAGAGUGAAACAAGUUGGGAAGAGGUUGUUAAUAAGAGAUUACCCAGGGAAAUAGGUAAAAGAAAUUUCCAUCCAAGAUUUAAUAACUGAUCGAUUCUCAUCCUGGGUAAAGUCCAUCUUAUUGUGAUAGAAAUGAAGAGAAAUAAAUAAGCUUUAGUUAAUGUAAUAAAGAUACCCAUUGUCAUUUCUAAAAUCCCAACUGCUUUAUUCAUUUGGAAAAAAUCAAAAAAGAAUAUAUAGGGAAUAGAUAAAUCCCACCCGCCUAAGUAGAGAACUGUUACAAAUAAAGAGGAAACUAAUAAAUUUAGGUAAGAAACAAGAUAAAAUAAACCAUAUUUUAUACCGGAAUAUUCGGUUUGAUAACCUGCUACUAAUUCUUCUUCUGCUUCUGGUAAAUCAAAGGGUAAUCUUUCACAUUCUGCCAAAGAAGAAAUUAGAAAAACCAGAAAACCUAUAGGCUGGCACCAAAUAUUCCACCCAAAAAAACCAUAUUUGGACUGUGCUUCAACUAUAUCAACUGUACUUGAACUGUUAGAUAAUCAUAGUCGAUGAUAACAUCACAGUUCCCACCGCUAUUCCAAAACCGUACAUGAAACCUUAGCUUCAUACGGCUUCUCUAUGAUCAGAAAAAGGGAAGGGCUGUUUCCUUUCGGUAUGAGCCUCUGGGGCGUAUAUAGAAUUAUUUUCUAGGCAAAAUAAAAUCGAUUGGAAAGCCCUAAAUUAGACCAAAGGAAUUCUGUCUGCUAGAAUAAGAGCGCUUCCGAAUUGAUCUCAUCCUUUAUAAUAUAAUGAAAAUUGUUCUUUGUUAAGUACUAACUUAAUCUUGGAAUAAAACACUCGUUAUAGGAAUUCUAUUAAUAAAUGGAAAGAAUUGGGCAUUAGUUCAGGAAGAAUUCUGUAUGAAUAUGGAUAGAGGAAGGAAAUAAUUAAUUUUUUUUUUUAUGUAUUGCAUUCUAUAUCUUUUGUCCUAUUCUUCUUUCCCCGGGGAGGGGUAUUUAAAAAGAAAAAAGAAAUAAAGGAUUAAUUCGUUCUUGAUAGCCAUUUCCUUAACAAGUGAAUGGAAACAUACUCUGGAUCGGAAUCCCAAGAAAGUACUACUUGAUCAUUUCCACUAAUUUCAAGUCCUUAUUAUGAUUCCUUUUAUGGGAAAAAUCUCUAAUUCUUAGAUUUCCCCAUUACUAAUCCUUUAUGUACUUUAGUGUUCCUGACCUUUCACUAACUUUUGAUGGAUUCUUUUUAUGUUUAUAAGUUAUAGUAAUAAUUAGGGAUAUUUUACUAAUGGAAUUCUAUAUCAUCCUUUCGUAAAUCCUUUAUUCUUGCCCGCUUCAAGACAUGAUGACUAAUUAAAAAAUAGCAAUCUUGGGGUAAAGAGUUUACACUACUUAUGUUUACUUCAAUUUUUUUCUUGUACGUAGGAAAUGAGAUUUUUUUUUUACUGCAAAUUAAUAAGCUGUUUUAUUUCACUCAUAUAGCUAUCUAGUUUAACUUACCAACCCGAAUACAGAAUAAGAAAAAGAAGAUAAAUAUUUAAUGGAUUUUAGAGGAAAAGGAUCCCAUUUUAACGAAUCACACGUAGAGAUAUUGCUAAUACACAAAAAGUUAAUGGUAUUUCAUAACUAAUCGAUUGAGCAGCAGCUCGUAGACUGCCUGAAAAAGAAUAUUUAUUAUUUGAGCUAUAUCCUGCCAUAAGAAGACCAAUAGGAGCAAUACUUGAAAUGGCAAUCCAUAAAAAAACACCAAUACUAAGAUCAGCUAAAGCAAAACGAUAUCCCAAAGGGAUCACUAAAAAACUUAAUAAAAUUGAUAUGACUGCUAUAGAGGGUCCAAUGCUAAAUAAAGGAAUAUCCCCUCGAGAUGGUAGAAUAUCCUCUUUUAAAAGUAGCUUAGUCCCAUCUGCUAUAGCUUGAAGUAGUCCUAGGGGACCGGCAUAUUCAGGACCAAUGCGUUGUUGGAUCGAAGCGGAUAUUUCUCUUUCUAACCAAACAAUUACGAGUACUUCUAUUGUGAUUCCCAAAAGAAGGGUCAAAAUGGGUAGAAUCCAUAUAAGUCCAUAGAUUUCUUUUAAUAAUUCUGAUUUCGAAAAAGAAUUGAGAGUUUCUACCUCUACCCUAUCUAUUAUCAUUUCAACGAUCAACUUCCCCCAUAAUGAUAUCUAUACUACCUAAUAUCGUCAUGAUAUCAGCCAAUUUCAUUUUUUUAACUAACUGAGGAAGAAUUUGCAAAUUAAUAAAACCGGGUGGACGAAUUUUCCAUCUCCAGGGAAAAAGGCCAUCAUCUCCUACUAGAUAAAUCCCUAAUUCACCUUUGGGGGCUUCUAUUCUUACGUAAAGCUCUUGCUUUGACAAUUCGAAAUUGGGUGAAGGUUUUUUACCAAGAAAUCGAUAUUCAAAAUCAUUACAUUCGGAAUUCUUUUCUUUCUUAAAGCGACGGACUUCUAAAUUUUCAUAAGGUCCUCCAGGAAUUUUCUCUACAGCUUGUUGAAUAAUUUUGAUAGAUUCUCUCAUUUCACCGAUUCGUACUAAAUAGCGAGCUAAUGAAUCUCCUUCUUUUUGCCAUUGGACUUUCCAACCAAAUUGGUUGUAAGACUCAUAAAGAUCUACUUUACGAAGAUCCCAUCGUAUUCCAGAAGCUCGUAACAUGGGUCCUGAUAAGCCCCAAUUUACUGCUUCUUCUCCGCUAAUAAAACCUACUCACUCAACUCGUUCCAAAAAAAUAGGAUUCUGUGUAAUAAGUUGUUGAUAUUCAACAACUCCCCGUAAAAAAUAAUCACAGAAAUCUAAGCAUUUCUCGAUCCAUCCAUAAGGUAGAUCGGCGGCUACUCCUCCGAUGCGAAAGUAAUUGUGCAUCAUUCGCAUACCUGUAGCAGCUUCAAAUAGAUCGUAUAUUAACUCUCUCUCUCUAAAAAUGUAGAAAAAAGGAGUCUGUGCGCCGAGAUCCGCCAUAAAAGGCCCAAGCCAUAAUAAGUGAGAAGCUAUACGGCUCAACUCUAACAUAAUUACCCUAAUAUAGCUGGCUCUUUGGGGUAUUUGAAUAUUUUCUAAAAAUUCUGGUGCAUUUACCGUUAUUGCUUCUGUAAACAUAGUAGCUAAAUAAUCCCACCGUGUUACAUAAGGUAAGUAUUGUAUAAUAGUUCGGUUUUCCGCGAUUUUUUCCAUUCCUCUGUGUAAAUACCCUAAUAUGGGUUCACAAUCAAUAACAUCUUCACCAUCGAGAGUAACGAUCAGUCGAAGAACACCAUGCAUUGAUGGGUGUUGAGGGCCCAUAUUGACUAUCAUGAGAUCUUUUCUUGUAAGCGGUAGACUCAUAUCCUUUCUUCCUUAAUUCGUUAUUCCAUGAAUUCCUCAAAACGAGGCUCAUCAAAAUGCAAAAUCUAAGACUACUAUAAGGCUACUAAAUAAAAUAAGUAAAAAAAUUCGAACGAUUAAAUUACUGCUCCCGAAUAUUCAAUUGACUGAUUAAUUUCUUAUAACGUACUCUAUUUUUCUUUGCCAAAUAAGCCAGCAAACGUCGACGUUUUCCCAAAAGUCUUCGUAGACCUCUUUCAGAUGAAAAAUCUUUUUUGUGUAAUUCCAAAUGUGAAGCAAGUCUCCGUAUCUUAUUGGUGAAAUUGAAUACUUGAAAUUCAACAGAACCUUUUUUUUCUUCUUUUUCUUCUUUAACCAUAAAUCCAAAGAUUUUUCUACCUCCUUCCUUUUUCAUGUAUUUUUCUAAUCAGGAAAAAUAAAACAUUAUGUCAGUUAUUUUGAAGUUAUUCUAAUCUUGUACACACAAAAAUUUGCAAUUAUUCAUCUACUACUGGAAUUUGGAUUUAUUUUAUCGAUGCAAAUUGGAUUUGGAUAGAAGGGUACAUUCUCUUAUUUUAGAUAGAAGAAACAUUUCUUCUAUCUAAAAUAAAAGAAUUUUGCUGAUUUUUUUAUUGCUAUAUCCAAUUUAUGGAAUUGAUACACCAUUUAAUUGAUAUCAUUUAGCAAAAUGAAACAUAGCAUAUGCAUCCAUCUUUGGGCUCGAGAAUUUCACGGGAUAGAGAUAUGGUAACUCGAAAUGAAUUGUGGAUACAUCUGUAUCCUUAACAUACUGAAACGAUUGCCAUUAUUUGUAUCAAACCAAUAGCGAUUCAUACAAGCUAAAUCUUCUAAUCAAUGGUGGGCCACUAAUGAAUUUUUUUGCAUAUGUAUUAAGACGCUUGGCCUGAUUUCAAAAUUGUCCAGAGUUUUAUAUGUUGUUUUCAUUGGAAAAUGACGGGUCUCCUUCCAUAACUUUCCAAUUACGAGUACGAGAAUUGAAAGAGAUGAAAAUUCUCAAUUAUCUACGGCGUCUAGGAGAUAGAUAGAAUAUUUUCAGGAACAAGAAAAUCGGAAGAAUCCUUCUCUCUAUUCACUACCAUUCCGCGUCUUCGACUUCUAUUAGUUUCUUUUCUUCUUUAAUGCAAUAGCUAUAGUUUGAUAUAAGAAUCUAUUUCUCAAAGUAAUGGAAACCAUUCUCUUAUAGGAAAUGGCUCGCAAAUCGCUAUUCCACCUUUUAGGUAUCGUGAAAAGUGAUACCUGUGAAGAUCGUGCAUUUCAGUCAAAUUCAGAUCCGUUUGUUUUUUCAGUCCAUGAUAUAACCAAAUUGGAUGGAUCUUCCACCCGUUUAGCUAAGAAAGAAUAGAUACAGAGGUGGAUAAUACAUCGAUAUGAAGAUCAUGAGCUGCCCCAUAAUGAAACCGCCAGUAGUCGCGAAUAUCCCCUUCUUCCCUAAUCCAAGAUUGGAGAAAGAAGAUCUAAGAGGGCCCUAUGGGGAAUGUGGUCAGAAAUCCUUAAUAGAGUCCGACCACAACGACCGAAUUAAUUAUCCUCAUCGAGAAACUUAGACUACUAAAUGGAAAAGAUUUGAAAAUCAUGGCAUGGGUCUCCUUUUUUUCUUUCUUUAGAGUUUUCUAUAUGCAGAAUUUCUCGAUGUUUUCAUGAGAAUUUCUUGACUUUCCAUAUAUAGAAAGAGAUAGACUAUAAAUGACAUCUCAUAUGUCAAUAAGACCAAAGGGAUGGAUAUUAAAUGAUAGGAAGUGCUAGGAAGUGAAAUAGAAUGAAAUAGAGCCACUUUGGGCUUCCCUAUGAAAUGAGGCAUGGAACGGAGCCACUAUGAAGAAAUUCUGGGAGUUACGAAAGAAGCUUCGGACCCAUAUUGUUCAUGGGUUGAGAGCGGGAGUUGAACCCUAGGAGGGGGAAUCCCCCCUUGUUCCUCAGUAGCUCAGUGGUAGAGCGGUCGGCUGUUAACUGACUGGUCGUAGGUUCGAAUCCUACUUGGGGAGAUUUGAUUCAUUCUUUAAUGUAAGAAUAAAGAAUUGAAUUAAAGGGCUUGCUUUGACCCUUAGGAGUAGGUAACCCGUUCGCUAUCCUUGUUUCUAUUUCUAUUGCAUUCUAUCUCAUUGUAUCACAUUCUGUUCUACGAUUCCACUUCGACAAAUGUGAUCUCUGACCGCGUGCUUGUUGAAGAAUGAGCCGGCGACUCAUAGGCAGUGGCUUGGUUAAGGGAACGUAACCCACCGGAGCCGUAGCGAAAGCGAGUCUUCAUAGGGCGAUUGUCAUUGCUUAUGGACCCGAACCUGGGUGAUCUAUCCAUGACCAGGAUGAAGCUUGGAUGAAACUAAGCAGAGGUCCGAACCGACUGAUGUUGAAGAAUCAGCGGAUGAGUUGUGGUUAGGGGUGAAAUGCCACUCGAACCCAGAGCUAGCUGGUUCUCCCCGAAAUGCGUUGAGGCGCAGCAGUUGACUGGACAUCUAGGGGUAAAGCACUGUUUCAGUGCGGGCUGCGCGAGCGGUACCAAAUCGAGGCAAACUCUGAAAACUAGAUAUGACCCCAAAAUAACAGGGGUCAAGGUCGGCCAGUGAGACGAUGGGGGAUAAGCUUCAUCGUCGAGAGGGAAACAGCCCGGAUGCAUACCAUGAUUUUUCUGUCUAUCAAUAACUGCAUGCAUUGCACGGUGAAUGUGAAGAAGUAAGCCAUUGUCGCGGCAAUAAUGAGCCAAAGUAGUAUUUGCGGUGAAUCCCCCAGUUAAGUAGUCAUGCAUUACAAUAGGAACACCUAAUUCUCUCGCAAAAACAGCUCUCUUCAUCAUUUCUUCACAUGUACCCGCAGUUGCAUUCAAGUAAUGCCCCUUGAUUUCACCGGUUUCCGCCUGUGAUUUAUAAAUAGCUUCGGCACAAAAGACAAAACGAUCUCUCCAGCGCAUAAAUGGUUGUGAGUUUACGUUUUCAUCAUCUUUGGUAAAAUCAAGUCCACCACGUAGACACUCAUAACACGCUCUACCGUAAUUUUUUGCAGAUAAUCCCAAUUUUGGCUUAAUAGUACAUCCCAAUAAAGGACGACCAUACUUGUUCAACUUAUCUCUUUCCACUUGGAUACCGUGAGGCGGGCCUUGGAAAGUUUUUGAAUAAGUAGGGGGAAUUCGUAGAUCCUCCAGACGUAGAGCACGUAGGGCUUUGAAACCAAAUACGUUACCUACAAUGGAAGUAAACAUGUUAGUAACGGAACCCUCUUCAAAUAGAUCUAAUGGAUAAGCUACAUAACAGAUCCAUUGACUGUCUUCCCCAGGAACAGGCUCGAUGUGAUAGCAUCGUCCUUUGUAACGAUCAAGACUAGUAAGUCCAUCAGUCCAAACAGUUGUCCAUGUACCGGUAGAAGAUUCGGCAGCUACUGCAGCCCCUGCUUCUUCGGGCGGAACCCCAGGUUGAGGAGAUACUCGGAAUGCUGCCAAGAUAUCAGUAUCCUUGGUUUCAUACUCCGGGGUGUAGUAAGUCAAUCUAUAAUCUUUAACACCAGCUUUAAAUCCAACACUUGCUUUAGUUUCUGUUUGUGGUGACAUAAGUCCCUCCUUACAACUCUUGAAUUAAGAAUUCUCACAAUAACAAGGUCUACUCGAUGUGAAUUAGGCGUAAAUGAAACUUUAGCAAAAAUCUCAUAAAAAAAAGAGAUAUUCAAUUAAUAGCAACUCAUUACAGAAAAUUGAGGGCAUGCUUAAGUUAAUUAAUAUUUUUCAUUCAUAUAUAAUGCGUACACCCUGUGUAUGUUCUAUCCUAUAGGAAUUCGAUAGGAAUUGAGUUGUUGUUAUGGUAAGUUAACACCGUUCGUUAUUAAACCAAGGAUUUGAUUUAACAAAUCCAUCAUUAUUGUAUACUCUUUGAUAGAUAUAGCGCAACCCAAAUCAAUCCUUAACCUUUUUUUUUACAAAUUAUUAAAGGGCCCCUUUCUUAUUUUGAAAAGAAAUACCUAACUAAAUACUAAGAAAAUUUUCUGUUGACAGCAAUCUAUGCUUCACAGUAGUAUAUAUUUUGUAUAGCGAAGUCCUAGAUAGGAAAGUAGAGUAGGCACAGAUCCUCCACAAAAGGAAAAAUCUAUCUUAUGAAAAAAAGAUUGAUUGAACUUUCCAACGGCCUCAUUCCACGAGUAAAGGGUUGAAAGGGAUUCGCUUGGGCAACGAAAUCAAGUCUUGUUCCCCUUUUUUCUCUUAUUGAAUUAACUAAUUGAUUUCCUUUUUACUUUUGGAUUUUUGGAUAUUUUUUUGGAUUUGGUAUUAUUCAACAAGAAAAAAAAAAUUCGACAAAUUCCUUUUUUUUUAUUAUGUGAUAAUUAUGAGAACCAAUCCUACUACUUCUCGUCCCGGGGUUUCCCCAAUUGAAGAAAAAAGUACAGGCCGUAUCGAUCAAAUUAUUGGACCCGUGCUGGACGUCACUUUUCCCCCCGGUAAGUUACCUUAUAUUUAUAACGCUUUGGUAGUCCAGAGUAGAGACACUGCCGAUAAGCAAAUUAAUGUGACUUGUGAGGUACAACAAUUAUUAGGAAAUAAUCGAGUUAGAGCUGUAGCUAUGAGUGCUACAGAUGGGUUGAUGAGAGGAAUGGAAGUGAUUGACCCAGGAGCUCCUCUCAGUGUUCCGGUCGGCGGAGCUACUCUCGGGCGAAUUUUCAACGUUCUUGGGGAGCCUGUUGACAAUUUGGGUCCUGUAGAUAGUAGUGCAACGUUCCCUAUUCAUAGAUCUGCGCCUGCCUUUAUCGAGUUAGAUACGAAAUUAUCCAUCUUUGAAACAGGUAUUAAGGUCGUCGAUCUUUUAGCUCCUUAUCGACGUGGAGGAAAAAUAGGACUAUUUGGGGGGGGUGGAGUAGGUAAAACAGUACUCAUCAUGGAAUUGAUCAACAACAUUGCUAAAGCUCAUGAGGGUGUAUCCGUAUUUGGUGGAGUAGGGGAAUGGACUCGUGAAGGAAAUGAUCUUUAUAUGGAAAUGAGGGAAUCCGGAGUAAUUAAUGAAAAAAAUAUUGAGGAAUCAAAGGUAGCUCUAGUCUAUGGCCAAAUGAAUGAACCACCGGGAGCUCGUAUGAGAGUUGGUUUAACUUCCCUAACUAUGGCGGAAUAUUUCCGAGAUGUUAAUAAGCAAGACGUGCUUUUAUUCAUCGAUAAUAUCUUUCGUUUUGUUCAAGCAGGAUCGGAGGUAUCCGCUUUAUUAGGGAGAAUGCCCUCCGCGGUGGGUUAUCAACCUACUCUUAGUACAGAAAUGGGUUCUUUGCAAGAAAGAAUUGCUUCUACUAAAAAGGGAUCUAUAACUUCGAUCCAAGCGGUUUAUGUACCUGCGGACGAUUUGACUGACCCUGCUCCUGCCACAACAUUUGCCCAUUUGGAUGCUACUACCGUACUUUCCAGAGGAUUAGCUUCCAAGGGUAUUUAUCCAGCAGUAGAUCCUUUAGAUUCAACCUCAACUAUGUUAUAGCCUCGGAUCGUUGGCAACGAACAUUAUGAAACUGCGCAAAGAGUUAAGGAAACUUUACAACGUUACAAGGAACUUCAGGACAUUAUCGCAAUUCUUGGAUUGGAUGAAUUAUCGGAGGAGGAUCGUUUAACUGUAGCAAGAGCGCGAAAAAUUGAGCGUUUCUUAUCACAACCGUUCUUUGUAGCAGAAGUUUUUACUGGUUCUGCAGGAAAAUAUGUUGGUCUUGCAGAAACAAUUAGGGGAUUUCAACUAAUCCUUACUGGAGAAUUAGAUGGCCUACCCGAGCAGGCUUUUUAUUUGGUGGGUAACAUCGAUGAAGCUAGCACGAAAGCUAUAACCUUAGAAGAGGAGAACAAAUCGAAGAAAUGAAAUUAAAUCUUUAUGUACUGACUCCUAAGCGAAUUAUUUGGGAUUGUGAAGUGAAAGAAAUCAUUUUAUCCACUAAUAGUGGUCAAAUUGGGGUAUUACCAAACCAUGCCCCCAUUAACACAGCAGUAGAUAUGGGUCCUUUGAGAAUACGCCUCCUCAACGACCUAUGGUUAACGGCGGUUCUGUGGAGCGGUUUUGCGAGAAUAGUUAAUAAUGAGAUCAUUAUUUUAGGAAAUGAUGCGGAACUGGGUAGUGAUAUUGAUCCGGAAGAAGCUCAACAGGCACUUAAAAU